rnacentral:lncRNA from 1 species
AUAUCACCUUCUCUUUCACAAGAGUUGUCCUCACAUACGUACAAACCAUCACGGGAAGCCAAAGGACCACAAUCAAAAUCAUCUUCACAACGACAAUCACAACUCGAGUUUUCUAAAUAUUCAAGCAAAUCAAGAUCAUCUACGCUCGGUUGAUCAUUUUGCUCGCUCUCACUAGUUGUUGGAAAUUCACAUACCAACGUAGAAUCACCUUGUUUUUCACAAGGGUCAACUAGUAUGUGAAUACUCUUGUCACUUGGUAAUGGAACCUUAGUCAAGUUGUAAGUGCUAGCACCAGAUGGACACAAAUCAUUCUCACGAGGAGAAUCAAUUUCGUCAUCUAAAGGAUCAACUAGUGCUUGUGUACCUACAACAAGAGUUUGGUCCUCAUGUGACCUAACAAUAUCAAGAGUAUCACAAAAUGAAGACUCAUGCACUCCUGCACUGGGUAAAAUCGUAACUACGUUCAUAUGAGUGUAGGGGAUAAUAUUUUUACCUUGUAGCUCACAUGAGCUACGAUCUUCAUCUUGACGUGUUUCCGGGUAGCCCACUUGCUCCCUUGGAACUCCUAUAUGAUCCAACCUUUCAUUUAUCACUUUCCAUUGACGGGUAAUGACUUCAAGUUUAGCCAAAAUAGCACUUGCAGUUGCGGGUUCCAUCGUAAUUGGACCUAAAAAAAAUAAAAGAACAAGUCGACAAAAUAAAACACAAGUUAGUUUGAAACAACCUCACCACACUCUCACACACUUGAUCAUUUCACACUUGGAUUCACAAGUGUUGCAAGUCGGCUUGUAGUUCUUGAUGAGUCGAGGGGUGAGUCUACUCCUUGGUUAGAAUGGAUUCUUUGUUUGAAAACUCAAGGAAAUAAUGUCCAAACUUAAACCAAGAAAUUCUACGAUUCAAAAAUAUGAAAAGCACAAAAUAACGCUAACACGAACAAACGGGCACAAAAACUAACUAAUAAGCUAGUAGGAGAUUACUUGGUCGUCAAUUAGUGUUCAAACCAACAAACGAAACUAAGAAACAAUAAAAUAAAACUAAGAAAUCUAAAAGUUGAACUCAAAAUGUUGCGUGAACAGUAAUUUAGUGAUGUGGCAGUCCACUAUCGGCCUCGAUUUUGCCAAAAUUUUACUCUCUGAUUUCAAGUCUUGACCAAUCUAUAAUUUGAAAAUGGUGGAUUUGGUUAAUGGAGGGAAAUUUGGUCUUGGAGCUUCAUUUUCAAGUUCAAAACAAGACUUGACCUUCUUGGUACUUUCUCCUUGAAACAAGGUUCUUAAAUCAAGGAAAGUAGGUGAAAAAUGGUUGUUAAGUUUUUUGAGUGAUGUGAUCAAGUUUUUCACCAACAAGUACUACAACUUGGUCUUUCACCUUUUGUGGAUCUAAUGUUCACUUUUUUUUAACAAAAGAUCAAAAGGGUGAAGAACAACAAGAGCACAAUAACAACACCAAGAACAACAACAAUAUUCUCUAAGAACAACAACAAAUUCCAAUGCCCAAAUCCACAACAACAAGGCCUUCAACACGGUCAAGGCUUAGAAUGACAACAACAUCAAAUCAACCAUACUUUGUUCACAUUAACAACAUCAACAAGUUCAAGUUCAAGCUUAGAUUUGGACACUUUUUAGUGUUGGUGAGAAAGAAACCAACACUAGAAAAACUCUAAAAAAUAAAAGACUGCAAGAUCUAGUCACAAAGAAACAUGUCUCGGCCAAGAAAACAACAAGAACAACAACUUUCUCGGCCAAGAACAACAAGAAUAGGCAGAUUACUCAUUUUCUGGAUUUUUUUUCCAGUUUUUCAACUCUUUUUUUUUAUAUUUUAUUUCAACUCUCAAGCCCAAGAUUGAUCUUGUUAGAACAAAAUCAAAGAUGGUUUUGAUACCAAAUGAUACAAAAAUUACAAGGACAACACGAAACACACUUCAAAAUCAGUCCACAAGAUCAAAGAUCCGAGGACCCUUUUGAAGACCACACUCGGAUUCACCAAACAACAAUAAGGACUCAAUGUAUUGAUGUGGUUAUCACCUAAAAACAGCUAACAACAUACUAUGUUAACAACAACAAGAUGAAGAACAACAACAAUGGAAAAAUAACAACAAGUCACGGAUUUGAAUUACAAGAACACAAACAAACGAUUACAAUAUAAAUAAAAUGGAUAGAUAGUUAGACCUUGAUUGGUAUAAUAUCAAGAAUCCAACAAUAUGGUAAUCUUGGACCCUUAACACUACACACAACGGUUAACCUAACUCCUACGUUAACACAAGAGGAACUUUACCUCCUCUAAACACCAACAUCUCAAGCCAAUAUUGUAAUACAAGUGAUAUCCACACUUGUUGCCCUCAUUUCGGUGUGGUGGCUAUUCCAAGCCCUAUAAAUAAAGGUGUUUCAUGUUUCAAGUCUUACAUCAAUGAACAACUAAUGAGAAAAAGAUCUAAAAUAUUCUAUUUAUAUUCUAUUACAAGACAAGGCAAAAUAAUAACAAUGCCCUUAAAGGGUGGGGUGGCCAUGGAGUGCAUUUGGACCCAAUGAAGUGACCAAAAUACCCUUAAUGAAGAUGACCAAACCAUGACCCAUUAAGUGUUGUCCAAAACCGUGAGUCCUCAAGUCUUUGAUGCUCCAAUCAAUCUUCUACACACGGCCUUGCUUGUGCUCAAAACGGGUCUUUCUUGCAUAUUUUUGUGCCCUCAGGGUGACCAAGUCUUGAGCUUUUAAAUGAUGACCUCCAAUCAUGUCUUCAAAAAUUAAGGUGGUCAUUUGAAUUGUAUCACUUUUGAUGUGAUGAAAUUUUAAUCCACAAUUAUCAAAUACAUGUUAUUUAUGUACAACCUGUUAUAAAGCAAUAAAGAACAAAGAAGAAGAGUAGAAUAGAGAGUGUAAUUGUUAUUUCUUUUGAGGGAUGAUAUAAAAUGAAGGAAGCCCUUCUAUUUAUAGGGGAAAUUUUUUCCUGGUUUCACACUAAAAGACAGAUACAUCAAAUCCUGAUAGACAUCAAAUAGAUCUUGAUAGACAUUCACUAUAAUUGAUAUAUAUCAUAACACUCUCUCUUGAAUGUCUAACAAUACACAUAUAGUCUGCCUUAUUAAAAACCUUACAAGGAAAACUCAGUGGGACAAAACCUCGUAAAGGAAAAAGAGUACAACGCAUAUUAACUCCCCCUAAUGAGAACAUCCUUAACCUUUGCAUCCUGAUCUUGUGCACCAUCUUCUUGAAAGUUUCAAUUGGAGAAGAUUUGGUGAAUAAAUCAGCCACAUUAUCACUUGAACGAAUAUGUUGCACGUUAAUAUCACCAUUCUUUUAUAACUCACGUAUGUAGAAAAACUUUGAUAAAGUAUGCUUCAUUCUAUCUUCUUGCUUAAGAUGUGCUAUGCAUGCUGCAUUAUCUCUGUAUAAAACUGUGGAUAUAUUGUCACAUUUCAAACCCCAUUUUUCUCAAAUGAGAUAUAUCAUGGACCUCAAUUGUACAGAUUCUCGGCUAGCUUCAUGAAGAGCUAUUAUCUCAGUAUGAUUCGAUAAAGUGGCUGGAUAAACUGUUUUGUAUAUCUCCAAGAUAUGACAGUAUCCCCAUAUAUGAACACAUAGCCUAUUUGAGGUUGAGCUUUAUGUGGGUCAAAUAAGUACCCAACGUUAACAUGAUCAAUAAGAAUGAGACUACAAUCUUUAGAAUAAAAUAAACUCAUGUAUUUUAUCCUAUUUUGAUAUCUACUAGUUGGAGCAGAAAUAUGUCUUGCUUAACAAAUUGACUGAAAAGGCUAUAUCAGGCCUUAUAGUAUUUGCAAGAUGCACUAGUGCAUCACUUGCACUAGAAUAUGACAAUCUAUUGCUUUUGAAAACUCUCCAAGAGUUCCAAUAAUUUUCAAUUUAUAAGCUUAUACAAUAUAAGGAUUCUAAAUAAGUUUCCCAGAAACUUUUAUAUGCUUCAAAUAUUUUGAAUCCUUAGAAAAUGUUCAUUUAAAUUUUGUCAUGUGACAAUAUUCAACAUUCCAUAUGUGACAUCUUCAAGUGUUUGGACUACAAAUCAAAUAAGUUUCACGCUUAUCAAGAUGCAUCCUUUCAUGUCACUAGAUAAAUGUUUCUACGUAAGCAUGCUUAAAUUAACGUAGAUUCAGAUCCUCAUAAUCUUUUACAAUAUUAUGCCAAUAUUGUAUCAAAGAUAUCAUCGAUGGUUUUUUAUUUUAUAUCGGUUCGCAAUGUGACAUAAUAUUUUGAGAUCUCAUCACUUCAUUAUUUUCAGGUACCUGAACCUAUCAUAAGGUUUCAUGAAGUGUUAUGUCGUAGGCUCUUCAUGAGUACAUUGCCUUCUUAUUUUGAUUAUUUUCUCCUUGAUUUAUUUGGAACCGAUUAGUAUACCAUGGUUCAUGCAUGCAUAGACUUUGUACUUCAAGGACAUAAAAUAGGAGCACUUGCAACUUAAUAUGAUAUGCAUUCAAUAUUUGACUUGAAUUAUCUUUUGAAUGAAGAUCUGAUGAUAAUUCCUAACAUACUUCAUAACUUCUUAUAAUCUCCCCCUUAUGUUAGGAAAACUAACAUACAUCCUCCAUUUUAUUUGAGAAAUCCAUCUUUGUACAUCAUGGUAUGUCCAUUAAUCGUAUACUGCACAUCAAAAUUAUUAGAUGGAACAGUUGAUUCCUGACCUUGAACCAAUUGAGAGGAAAGAAAUAAUCAUAAUUUAUUGGUCUAAUGCAUACAAGUAUUAUUGUAUGGAACAUAUCAUAUUUCAGACCAAUACAAAAACCUUUCUUCUCAUUAAUAAUGGUUUAGAUUUUAUCAAAGGCAUUCAAUGCCAAACCAUCAUUAUCAAGAUUGUCUUGAUUACACAAUAUGAAAGUUAUGUUCUUAACUCAAUUUUAUUGAGCAAACAACUUUAUAAAUGUCAAACGUAAGUUGAUAAUAAAUGUACACGUGAUCAUCUUAUUGAUGCAUCUUUUUAAUAAAUCACAUGAUAGUUGAACGGGCCCUUAUUCACCUUUUAUACUUUUCAGAUUUUAAGGGAUCAAAUCCCAAAAUUAGUUGGUCUAACCAACUUAUCAUGAGCUUAUACUUUUCAAAUUUUAAGGGUUCCAAUCUCAAAAUUAGUUGAUUCAACCAACUUAUCAUGAGAACAAGCAACAUUUAAAGUUCAUGAAGAUUUUUUUUUAAUUCUUCAGUAUAUGUUUAAUACUCAAUAUGCACAUCUUCGAGAUGUUACAAUCGUUCAUAUCAACUUAUGAACUCUUAGUAGUAAACACAAGUUUAUCAUGAUAUGUAUUUUUUUUCUUUUGUAAAUUUCAGGUUUACUAUUAGAUGAAUAAAUUUCAGAUUUACUACUUUAGAAGUAGAUUUAAAACAACUGUUCUAAGUUAUUCUGCCUCAUUCGGAGGUGAGUUGUGAUACCAUCACAAUCAAGUAUUCUUUUUCAUUAAUAAGCUUCUCAUUCCCCAGGAAUGAAAUAUAAUCGUGCCUUAAGCCUAUCAAAUUAUGAUAGCUUAUAACCUCUUUAAAGAUUUUGCUACUUCAGGAGCAAAUCAAGGCAUACAUAUGAUGUAGAGAAUUUUUCUCUAACAUAUCUUAUAAUCAUAAUAUGCGUGUGAAAAUAUCAUCACUUUUGAUGAUCAUUAUCAUAUUGUACCUCUACGCGUAUAUUCGUGCAUUCAAUCACUUGUUUUCUUUCAGACAUAUUAUGCACUGCUAUCAUAUACACUUCAAUAAUGAAGUAAGAUGUCAUAUUUUAGAUUUGUCAUAUAUUGCUACCACAUUCACUUCAUGGAAUGAAGCAUAUUCAAUGGGACAUAUUUCAUGACUUUUCAUUAAAAAUACAUUAUUUUGUCUUAACCAUCAUAAUAUCAUCAAUAUGGUGCAUUGAUACUCAAACUCAACAUCUUACCCAUAUAAAGGCGUCUUAGGCAUAAAUUAAUGGGACUUAAACCCAACAUAUUGUUAUCCUUUUUGAUAAUAUUAUUCUUGAGGAAUAAAUUUAAAAUAUAAAUGGUUCCAAACCAAUUAUUUUUCCUCAAAUCCAAUAAUAAUUAUAUUAUUAUUAACAAAAGACAGAUAACAUAAGGAAUGACUAACUUUGAAAUAACCUUUAGAUUUAUAAUCUUAUCUGUUUCGCAGAGUCUCGUGCUGAUAACGUGUUAUGAAACAAUAAAGAAUAAAGAAGAAGAGUAGAAUAGAGAGAGUAAUUGUUAUUUCUCUUGAGGGAUGAUAUAUAAUGAAUGAAACCUUCUAUUUAUAGGAAAAAUUUGCUCCUAGUUUCACACUAAAAAGACAGAUACAUCAAAUUCUGAUAGACAUCAAAUAGAUCUUGAUAGAAAUUCACUAUAAUUGAUAUAUAUCAUAACACAACCAAUGUUAAUAUGAAAUUAUUUAUUNNNNNNNNNNNNNNNNNNNNNNNNUAUAUAUAUAUUUGUAGCUUCACUUCUGAUUUUUAAUAUUAACCUACAAAAACGUUACUUCUUAAAAAGUAAUUCUUUUUACUAGUUCCAAACAACAUAAAAAAAUAAGAUUAAUACUUAUCUCAUAAAGGGAUUUCAUUCUCGAAUGUAGAGUUUUGUGCAACAUGAUUUUUGUGCAAUUAGCCUGCUCUUGUCGUGUGCACUUUGUUCGUAGCUAUAAUUAAUUAGAGACUUUUGCUGAUAACGUAUUAUAAAAUAACAAAGAAUAAAGAAGAAGAGUAGAUAGAAUCGAUAUUAAUUCUUAUUUCUCUUGAAAAUUCUCUUGGGAUCUCUUUUCGGUACUUGAGGAUGAUUUACAAUGAAAGAAACAUAUCAACUAGAUCUUAUCUAUUAUCUAUAUUCUUGAUAGAUAUUCAUUAUAAUGUAAAUACAUUUAUAACAUAUUUGAUUAAUUUGUCUAUAUAAAUAAAAAAGGAUAAAUAAUUCGACUCGUAAUCCAAAAUUUUUAAAAAUCGACCCAUUUAUCCUAGUGGACAAUUUGACACCCAAAACUUACUAAUCCUGGAUCCGCCAUGUACAUCACUCUUUUUCAUAUCUCAUCUCUGAGAAUAUACUAGGUUUCAUAUCGCAGUAUUUACACUGAAUUUUCACCUUCUUGGGUGUGUUUGGUAUGAUGAAAAAUGUUUUCUAGAAAACAUUUUCUCAUUUUCUCAUGUUUGGUUAUAAAAAGCUAUUGAGAAAAUAUUUUCCCAAGUAACUUAUUUUCCAUCAUUUGAGGGAAAAUCACUUCCCUGAUAAGUGAAGGGAAGUCAUUUUCCAGAUAAAAAAUUGGGGACUACGGUUAUACCCCCACCCUUCCCCCACCCCUCUUCUCCACCACCAAUAAGAGCAGAUCACCUUCGUCUCCACAAGUCGAUCAUCAUCGUCUCCAAUUUUAGGUCUUUCUCCCCCCUCUCUCUCUUCUCCCCACUGCAAUAAUUUCAAAGGUAUGUCUAUAAUUAAUUUCUUAAUUCCCUUUAUGUUGUCUAAAAAGAUCGAUUGGAGUUGAUUUCUCCUUUUUAAAUCUGAGCAAAAGAUCAACAAUAUCUCCUUUAAUGGAUUUUGGCCUAUUGGGAUUGAGAUGCAACUCGAUGAGUCCUUUAUAAAACUCAUCCAGAUCCUUAAAAUUCAUUGCCUUUACGACAUGAAACUACUCUAGAUUCUGCUGCCCCAAGUGUGUUUCCUUACACAUGUUUCUUGUAUGGCUUUCUGGGCCCGGAACCCAUUGAAUGGUUCUACUGAAAAGUAACUAUGAACUUUCAUUGAUUUGGAACUAAUAAAUCUGUUGUCAUUAUGACUUCAUAAAAAAAUGAAUCUAGUAUCAUUGUGAGUUUCUAUGUUGGAUUGUCGUUAUCUCAUGUUUAAGAAGAGAUUCACCAUUAUGCAAUUUCCCUCAUCUUUCUAUGUGUUGAAUAUCGGAAACAACCUUUUUACCUUCCCAAGAUAGACUUCACUUAUGACUAAUGAGAGUACAUUGGGAAUAUUUUUGUGUUUCUAUAUGUUAAAUUUUCCUUAUAAAUUAUUUCAUAACUUAAAUUUUUCUUAGUAGUUUGUAAGUUGUAUAUAAGAAGGUUGCUUAUAGGAUGCCAGAUAUGCCAGUAGUUUGUAGUAGUUCUUUGCUUAUUGUUGAAAGGUUGCAUAUAGCUUGCCAGACUAAGUGUUCGCUUAGUUGAUUCUUCAGAGAGUGGUGUAUGUGUUCAGAGUAGUUCAUAAUCAUCUUUAGUCUCUAAGGUGAAAGAAAAGCAAGAUAGAGAUCUCAGCCUUGUCAAGUUAAAAGAGUUAGUUCAGAAUCAGAAAAAAAGAGAUUUUCUCCCAAAAGAGAGAUGGUGUUCUUCGUUGUCAGGGUCAUCUCUAUGUUCCAGGUAUAGAUGACUUAAGGUAGCAAAUUCUUGUAAAAACGUAUGGUGCGCGCUAAUCUAUUCAUCCAGGGGCCACUAAGAUGUACCGCGACUUAUGGGAGAUCUAUUGGUGGAGUGGGAUGAAGAGAGAUAUUGUAGAAUUUGUGGCUAAGUGCUCUACGUACCAGCAGGUUAAGAUAGAGCAUCAGAAGCCUAGUGGUCCUAUGCAGGAGUUUAUUAUUCCUACUUGAAAGUGGGAAGAAGUGAACAUGGACUUCGUGACGGGUUUGCCUCGAACUCGUCAUCAGCAUGAUUAAGUUUGGGCUAUUUUAGACAAAAUGACCAAAUUAUCUCAUUUCCUUCUAGUUCAUACCUCUUAUUUAGUCGAGGAUUACACCAAACUCUACAUCAAGGAGUUGGUCAUUCCAUUAUCCAUUAUCUUAGACAGAGGUACCUAGUUCACCUCUCAUUUUUGGAAAGCAUUCCAAAAGGGUCUUGGUACCCAAGUUCAUCUUAGUACAACCUUUCAUCUUCAGACAGAUGGUCAAGCAGAAAGGACCAUUCAGACUCUAGAAGAUAUGCUAAGAGCAUGUGCAAUUGGUUUCAAGGGUAGUUGGGAUGGCCACUUGCCUUUGAUUGAGUUUGGAUACAAUAAUAGCUAUCAUUCCAGUAUCCAGAUGGCUCUAUUCGAAGCUCUCUAUCGUAGGAGAUAUAGAUCUCUGAUUGGUUGGUUCAAAGUUAGUGAGGCCUCAGUUAUAGGUCCUGACUUGGUAUUAGAUGCUUUAGAAAUAGUCCAGUUAAUCAGAGAAAGACUUCGGGCUGCUCAAAGCCGACAGAAGUCUUAUACAGAUAUUCAUAGAGAGGAUCUCGAGUUUGAGAUUAGUGAUUAUGUCUACCUAAAGAUCUCUCCUAUAAAGGGAGUAAAGAGAUUCGGCAAGAAGGAAAAGCUCAGUCCCUGUUAUGUAAGUCUCUUCUAGAUUCUCAGUCACUUUGUCAAGGUAGCUUAUGAGCUCGAAUUGCCUUCAGAUCUAGCCUCAAUUCAUCCAGUCUUUAAUGUCUCUUUGCUUAAGAAGUGCAUAGGUGACCUGUUAGUUGUAGUCCCUAUUCAGAGCAUAGAUGUUAAGAAUAGCCUCUCUUAUGAAGAGAUCCCAGUCAAAAUCCUAGACUAUCAGACUUGUAGAUUGAGGAACAAAGAAGUUCCUCUAGUUAAAGUUCUUUGGCAAAAUCAGUCUGUUGAGGGAGCUACUUAGGAAGCAGAAGCAGAUAUGCAUACCAAGUAUCUUUACCUUUUUCUCGCCAACUCAGAUCAAGCUCAAGGUCAUAGUUCUCCUUAAGCUUACUCAGUUUCAUGCUCAAUGUUCAUCAUAAACUUGGUAUCAAAUACCAUUGCAUAUUCAGUCAUGCAUUCAUGUAUCAGUUAGUUAUAUAGUUAUGCAUCAAACAUGCAUUCUCAUAGCGAGAAAACUUAGUUCCUCAGAACACUCAGUCAUGUAUUCAUGAAUCAGUUACACAUGCCUCAGAUAUGCAUGUUCAGUAUGUUAUGUUUAGCUUAUCAGUCCUGUCAGUCGUGAGAUCAUGUUUCAGUUAUUCAUGUUUAGUUCAUGUUUAGCUUAUUUCUUCCUCUCUCAUUCAGUCUCAUUCGAGGAUGCAUGUUCUCAACGGGGAGAUAUUGUAAUACCCGUGCCUUUUUCUUAGCUUAAAGUCAUCUCAAGAAUGGUAGAACUUUCUUUGAUAUACGAAUAUUUUUUUGUACACAUGGUAUUUUUAAUAUUUUACCAUUCUAUCAUGCGGGAAAUUGAAUAAGCUUUCCAUCGUUACCAAUUUUAUCAAAAUCUUGUGUCAGAUGAGGAAGUUAUGGACGAAAGACAGAAAGCAGAAAAACCGCCCAGGUGCGACGGUGCAGGCGACGGACUGUCACCAUGACCGUCACAUCGAGGAAGUGACUUGACUUUCUAGAAAUGUACAACGGCGAGGUUCGACGAACCGACCCAGUGACGGACCGUCGCAUCCCACCAUCGUUCAUUGGCAGUAAGUCCCAAUUCUGUCUCAGUUCGACGGAGAGGUCCGACGGACCGUCGACCCAGUGACAGACCAUCGCACCCCACCAUCGGAUGACCCACUCAGUUAUUUUAAGUCAUUUUAAUAGGAAUAUUUUGGUUAUUUACCACCUGUCUAUAUGUACCAGUUAUAUCUGAUUUCAGCCAUUUUAUCCAUUAUUAUUUCACAACAACAAUUAGGGUUUCUCUUAAGGAUCAAUUCCAAGUACAAAAACCCUAGGUGCUUGAUUCCAAGACAAUAAUUCAAGUUUUCCUCCAUAGAACUUCAAGAAAUCUCAAACCAGGUAUGCAUAGUGUUCAUUCAUGGACUCCUUUCGUCCAUGAAGCCCAAAAAUCCCUUUUCCAACUUCAAGUUAUGAAUUUUCUUUAUGAUUUAAUGAUUGGACUGCUCUUGUUCAUGUUGAUAAAUAAGAAAUUGAAUUCUACUCCAUGUUGGGUGAUAGUUUCUAUGUGGGUUUAAUUAUUAUAGAUAUAGAUUCAUGCAACCUUAUGACUAAACCCUUGAAUGAUGAAACUAGAAUUGAAUCAUAAUGUUUAAUUAUUGUAAAAUGAUGUUUACCUGUACCAUGCCUACAAUAUGUUUGAUUAAAUGCUUAGAUGAAGGAAAAUUGCUUAACUAUCAUGAAAUCCGCAUGUAUGUACAAGUUUAUGCCUAGCACAUGUUUGAUGAAAUGCUUCAAUAAAUGUAUUAUGGUGAUUAUUAUGUACUUAAGUAAUUCAUGUUUAUCAAUUUCCUUCCAUCGAGUCCUGGUAGUACUGGUAUCCAAAAAAUUAGCUAUGUGCCUAGAACCAUGUCAAGUUUUCACGAUACUCUCAGUCAAGCUAUGAAUCCUUAGACUUCAGGCAGUCUUAUGACUCAGGAAAUCUCUAUGAGCUCAUGAACUCAGUCAGCCAUCAGAUAUUAGUAGUAUUCUGCCAGUCAAUGGAAUUCAUAAAUUAGUUCAUGUUCUGUUCAGUUCAAUAAAUCAUGUUCAGUGUCUAUUCAGAUGGGAUUAGAAAUUAGAACCUAGCGAACCCAAGGAUGGGAACUCACCUGCUAGCUUAGGGUGUGAUUCUUAGAAGCAAUCCUUGUGUACUAGAACUACGUAGCCACCAUACAUUGAGACAUAUAACUUUUUAGUUUAGGGUUGAUGAGGUGGAUUAGCCUGUCAUUUUAGGGUUCCUACCGUUCUCAUUUUGAGUACCUGCCAACAUAUGGUCCUCACAGCUUGUCCUUACCAGUGGCAUGAUAUUGACACCCUUCCAAUUGGGGUUACAUAUUAGACCCCCAACGCAGAUAUAAUGGCACAUUAGGGGCAUUUUGGUUAAAUAACUACUUCCCACAAUUUCAGUAUCAGUCUCAGUAAAAACACUCAGAUAGUUCUUCAGUUUUCAGGACUGUCAGAUACAGUCAACUUAGAUACAGUACAGAACUCAAAUAGUUCCAUCAGAUUCUGAACUGUCAGCUACAGUCACUCAUGUUAUCAGUUAUAUCAGUUAUCAGUAUGUUAUGUUAUCAGUAUUCAAAUUUAGUAAUCAUCUAUUCAUGAUAUUAGUGUCAGUUAUUAUAUCUCAUGCAUGUAUUCUCACGCUUAUGAUAGUCAGUUAGUUAUUGUUAUUAUUCAUGCAAAUGAACCCUAUGCAUUUAGCCUACCUCACAUGCAUACCAGUACAUUCAAUUGUACUGACGCAUUCACGCUAUGGUGUUUCAUAUCAUAGGUUCAGAUACACGAGCUCUAGAUCAGCAACAGAUUCUAGCCUUAACAGUCAGAGUUAGAAGUGAGUCCUCAUCCUUUGAGGACAUGAUUAUUUCUAUAUUAUCUCAUUAAUUAGUUUAUUAGUUAGAGUUAAUUGGGGACAUGUCCCAUCAACUCCUUACUCAUUCAGACAAUCAUGUUUAGAGGCUUUCAAGACUAUUAUCUUUCAGACUUCAGUAUUUUCAGUUUUGUUUUAGGUAUUUUAUUACCCCACCCAGAUGUUAUAUUAUUCAACUUAUGUUCAAUUUUGAACCUUAUGGCCUUUCAGUACAUAUUUCUGUAUUAUUAUGUUAUAUUAUGCAGUGUACAGGUACAAAUAUUAGUCAUAGGUUUGCUUGUGGUCCUUCGGGGUCAUGAGAACCAUGUAGCGCUCUGGGUAUCAGAUUUGGGGUAUUACAAACUUGGUAUCAGAGACAGGUUCAAUAGAGUCCUAGGAAGUCUUAAAGCCACAUCUAGUAGAGUCUUGUACAUGGGUGUGUUGCGCGCUAUAUCUAUGUGCAGGAGGCUAUAAGAUAUUUAGGAGCAGUUUUCCUUCAUUUAGUAUUCAUGUCGUGCCAGUGAGCAUAAUCUCAUCAAUAUCUCAGUCUAAUCUGUUUCUUCUCUUUAUUUCAGAAUAUGCCUCCCAAGAGAAGAAAUCAGUCAGCCCCUCAUCCCAAAGAACCUUGGGCAAUCAUAUUUCUCAUGUAGAAUUCAGAGCCGCAUUUACUACUCUUGCUGAGUCGGUUGCUGCCCAAAAUAAAUGACUAACAGUCGUUCCGGCCAACCCAGUAGCCAAUUCAGCUGCAAGCAGAAUUCAGAACUUCACCCGAAUGAAUCCUCCAACCUUUCUUGGGUCUAAGACAGACGAGAACCCUCAGGAAUUACUGAAUUAGGUGCAGAAGGUGACGGAUAUCAUGGGGUGACUGCUAUUGAGAGUGAUGAGCUAGUUGCAUAUCAGUUGCAGGAUAUAACUCAUACUUGGUUUAAGCAGUGAAGUCAGAAAGGGAAGAUGAUGUAGGGUCAGUUGAGUGGGAUGAGUUUGCUUCUGCAUUUCUUGAUUAAUUCUUUCCCCUAGAGCUUAGAGAAACCAAGGUGCUAGAAUUCAUCAACCUCAGGCAGGGCAAUAUGACAGUGAAAGAGUAUUCUAUUAAGUUUACUUAAUUAUCCAGAUAUGCCCCUCAUGUGGUUGCAGAUAGCAGUACAAGGAUGAGUAAGUUUGCCUCAGGGGUGAAUGAUAGCGUGGUAAAUGAGUGCAUAUCUGCCAUGAUGACUAGUGACAUGACCUUAGCCAAACUUAUGACCCAUUCUCAGCAGAUAGAGGAGUAGAAAAUUAAGAUAAAGAAGAAGCAGAAUAAGAGAGCAAAAGCAGGUAGUUUCAACUUUGCUCAGCCUAAAUCAGAAGGAUGAAACCGCUCCCAGUUUCAUCCUAAGCCAUCAGUUCUAGCUCCUUCUUCAGCUAGUACUCCAAUUCCUAAGUUCAGAGAUAGAGUGUCAGGAUCUUAGUCUCAGGGCAAUGUUAGGAGUGCCCACACUUAUCCCCUUUGUUAGACUUAUGGUAAGAACCACAAGGGUGUUUGCAGAUCUGGUAGUGAUGUGUGUUUCGGAUAUGGCAAGCCAGGCUAUAGAGUUUGAGAGUGUCCUCAGACAGGUUCCCAGCAUUAGUAAAAUUGUUCCGCAGCUCAGUCCGAUCGUCCAAAUCAGCAAGGCGCCACUUCCAGUGCUACUAGUGGGCAACGACCAAAUAGACUCUAUGCUCUCCAUACCCAAUAGGAUUGGGAAAAUUCUCCUGACGUAGUUACUGGUUUGUUACAGAUCUUUCAUGUUCAUGUUUACACUUUACUAGAUUUAGGAGCUUCUUUGUCUUUUGUCACUCCUUAUAUAGUAGAUGAUUUCAGAAUCAAUCCUAAAAUUCUAGCAGAGCCCUUUUUAGUCUCUACCUCAGUGGGUAAAACCAUCAUAUCCCAGCGGGUAUACAGGAACUUCCCGAUUAUGGUAUUUCAGAAAGUUACUUCAGCAGACUUAGUCGAAUUAGAGAUGACUGAUUUUGAUAUCAUUCUCGGCGUGGACUGGCUUCAUUCCUUCUAUGCCACAGUCUACUGCAAAAAUAGAAUAGUCCAGUUUUAGUUCCCAAAUAAAACCUUUCUAGAGUGGAAGGGUAGUGUAUCUGCUUUCAGAGGUCAGCUUGUUUCCUACCUUCUGGCAAGGAAAUUGAUAUCUAAGGGAUGUGUCUAUCAUCUUGUUUAUGUUAAGGAUUCCAGUUCUGAGACUCCCAGUCUUGAAUCAGUUUCAGUUAUAAAUGAAUAUUUAGAUGUCUUUCCUGAAGAUCUUUCAGGAAUUGCUCCCAAAAGGGAAAUAGAUUUCAAUAUUGAUUUUCUUCCAGAUACUUAGCCUAUCUCUAUUCCGCCAUAUAGAAUGGCACCAGCAGAACUCAGAGAAUUGAAAGAAAAGUUGAAGGAUCUCUUAGAUAAGGGAUUCAUCAGACCCAACGUUUCCCCGUGGGGCGCACCAAUCUUAUUCAUGCACAAGAAAGACGGUUCCCUCAGAAUGUGUAUUAAUUACCAUCAACUCAAUAAGGUCACGGUCAAGAACAAAUAUCCUCUUCCCAAAAUCGAUGACUUAUUUGACCAAGUUCAGGGUGCCAAUUAUUUCUCUAAGAUAGACCUCAAAUCCGACUAUCAUCAGCUUAGAGUCAGAGAAUGUGACAUUCUGAAAAUAGCUUUUCAUACUCGGUAUGAUCACUUCGAAUUUCUUAUCAUGUCAUUUGGUCUUACCAAUGCCCUAGCCGCUUUCAUGGACUUGAUGAACAGGGUGUUCAAGUAGUACAUGGAUAUGUUUGUGAUAGUCUUUAUAGAUGACAUUCUUGUUUACUUCCGCAGUGAGCAAGACCAUUCAGACUAUCUCAGAAUUAUUCUUCAAACUCUCAGAGAUCAUCAGUUAUUCGCCAAAUUCAGUAAGUGUGAAUUUUGGCUAAGGUCAGUAGCAUUCCUUGUUCAUAUCAUUUCCGGUGAUGGCAUUAGAGUAGAUCCUCAAAAGACUGAAGUGGUAAGAAACAGGGCUCACCCUAUCUCUCCAUCAGAUAUCCAGAGUUUCUUGGGUUUGGCUAGCUAUUACAGACGGUUUAUUGAAGGAUUUUCUUCUAUUGCAUCCGCUAUGUCCAUGUUAACUCAGAAGAAAGUCAAGUUUCAGUGGUCUGAUCCCUAUGAGGAGUUUUCAGGAGUUGAAAACUCGACUCACCUCAGCUUCAGUUCUAGCAUUACCAGAUGGUUCAGAUGGGUUUGUAGUAUAUUGUGAUACAUCCAGAGUGGGUUUGGGUUGUUUCCUCAUGCAGCAUGGUAAGGUCAUAGCCUACGCCUCCAGACAUCUUAAACCCCAUGAGAAGAAUUAUCCUACUCAUGAUAUUGAGUUAGCAGCCAUAGUAUUCACCUUAAAAAAUUGAACGCAUUACCUAUACGGUUUUUAUGUAGAUGUUUUCACAGAUCAUAAGAGUCUUCAAUAUGUCUUUUCUCAGAAAGAUCUCAAUCUUCAUCAGAGAAGAUGGUUAGAGCUCUUGAAAAAUUAUGACAUAAGUGUCUUUUAUCAUCCGGGCAAGGCCAACGUAGUAGCUGAAGCUCUCAGUAGACUGUCUAUGGGUAGUGUUUCUCAUAUUGAGAACAAUAAGAAGAGGUUAGCUCAGUAAGUCCAUCAGCUUGCUAGACUAGGCAUUCGCUUAGUCAAUUCUUUAGAGGGUGGUGUAUGUAUUCAGAGUAAUUCAGAAUCAUCUCUAGUUUUCGAGGUGAAAGAAAAGCAAGAUAGAGAUCCCAGCCUUGUCAAGUUGAAAGAGUCAGUUCAAAAUUAGAAAAUAGAGGUUUUCUCCUAAGGGGGAGAUGGUGUUCUUCAUUGUCAGGGUCGUCUCUGUGUUCCAGGUGUAGAUGACAUAAUGUAGCAAAUUCUUGUAGAAGCAUAUGGUGCGUGCUACUCUAUUCAUCCAGGGGCCACUAAGAUGUACCGCGACUUAUGGGAGAUCUAUUGGUGGAGUGGGAUGAAGAGAGAUGUUGCAGAGUUUGUGGCUAAGUGCUCUACAUGUCAGCAGGUUAAGAUAGAGCAUCAGAAACCUAGUGGUCCUAUGUAGGAGUUCAUUAUUCCUACUUGGAAGUGGGAAGAAGUGAAUAUGGACUUCGUGACGGGUUUGCCUCGAACUCGUCAUCAGCAUUAUUUAGUCUGGGUCAUUGUAGACAGAAUAACCGAAUGAGCUCAUUUCCUUCUAGUUCAUACCUCUUGUUUAGAUGAGGAUUACGCCAAACUCUACAUCAAGGAGUUGGUUAGAUUGUACGGUGUUUCGUUGUCUAUUAUCUCAGACAGAGGUACCCAGUUCACCUCUCAUUUUUGGAAAGCAUUCCAAAAGGGUCUUGGUACCCAAAUUCGUCUUAGUAUAGCCUUUUAUCCUCAGGAAGAUGUUCAAGCAUAAAGGACCAUUCAGACUCUAGAAGAUAUGCUAAGAACGUGUGCAAUUAAUUCCAAGGGUAGUUAGAAUGACCUCUUUCCUUUGAUUGAGUUUGGAUACAACAGUAGCUAUCAUUCCAGUAUCCAGAUGGCUCCAUUCGAAGCUCUCUAUGGUAGGAGAUAUAGAUCUCUGAUUGAUUUGUUCGAAGUUAGUGAGGCCUCAGUUAUAGGGCCUGACUUGGUAUUAGAUACUUUAGAAAUAGUCCAGUUAAUCAGAGAAAGACUCCGGGCUGCUCAGACCCGACAGAAGUCUUAUACGGAUAUUCGUAGAAAGGAUCUCGAGUUUGAUAUUGGUGAUUAUGUCUACCUAAUGAUCUCUCCUAUGAAGGGAGAGAAGAGAUUCGGCAAGAAGGGAAAGCUCAGUCCCCGAUAUGUCGGUCCCUUCAAGAUUCUCAGUCGCUUUGGCAAGGUAGCUUAUGAGAUCAAAUUGCCUUCAGAUCUAGCCUCAGUUCAUCCAGUCAUUCAUGUCUCUUUGCUCAAGAAGUGCAUAGGUAACCCGUCAGUUGUAGUCCCUAUUCAGAGCAUAGAUAUUCAGAAUAGCCUCUUUUAUGAAGAGAUCCCAGUCAAAAUCCUAGACUAUCAGACUCGUAGAUUGAGGAACAAUGAAGUCCCUUUAGUUAAAGUUCUUUAGCGAAAUCAGUCUGUUGAGGGAUCUACUUGGGAAUCAAAAGCAGAUAUGCAUACCAAGUAUCCUCACCUCUUCCCCGCCAACUCAUAUCAAUCUCAUGGUAACAAUUAUCCUUAAGCUUACUCUAUUUCAUGCUCAGUGUUCAUAAUAAACUUGGUAUCAAAUACCAUUGCAUAUUCAGUCAUUCAUUCAUGUAUCAGUUAGUUAUAUAGUUAUGCAUCAGACAUGCAUUCUCAUGGUGAGAAAACUUAGUUCCUCAAAACACUCAGUCAUGCAUUCAUGAAUCAGUUACACAUGUCUCAGAUAUGCAUGUUCAGUAUGUCAUGUUAAGCUUAUCAGUCCUGCCAGUUAUGAGAUCAUGUUUUAGUCAUUCAUGUUCAGUUUAUGAUCAACUUAUUGCUUCCCCUCUUAGUCAGUCUCAUUCGUGGAUGAAUGUUCUUAAAGGGGAAAUAUUGUAAUACCCGUGCCUUUUCUUAGCUUGAAGUUAUCUCAAGAAUGGUAGAACUUGCUUUGAUAUACAAAUCCAUUUUUGUACAUGUGGUAUUUUAAAGAUUUUUCCUUUUUUAUCCUGUGGAAAAUUGAAUAAGCUUUCCAUUGAUAAUAAUUUCAUCAAAAUCCGGUGUCAGAUGAGGAAGUUAUGGCCGAAAUACAGAAUGCGAAAAAGCUACCCAGGUGCGACGGUGCAGGCAACAAACCGCCGGACAAGCGAAGGACCAUCGACCAUGACCGUCGCAUCGAGGCAGUGACUGGACUUUCUAGAACUGUACGACGACGAGGUUCGACGGACCGUCGACCUAGCGACGGGCCAUCGCACCCCACCGUCGCUCAUUGGCAGUAAGUCCUAGUUCUGUCUCAGUCCGACAGACCAUCGACCCAGCGACGGACCGUCGCACCCCACCGGUGGAUAACCCGCUCAGUUAUUUUAAGUUGUUUUAACAGAGGUAUUUUGGUCAUUUACCACCCACCUAUAUAUACCCAGUUAUAUUCGAUUUUAGAUAUUUUAUCCAUUAUUAUUUCACUACAACAAUUAAGGUUUCUCCCAAGGAUCAAUCCCAAAAACAAGAAACCCUAGGUGCUUGAUUCCAAGCCAAUAAUUCAAGUUUUCCUCCAUAGAACUUCAGGAAAUCACAAACCAAGUAUGCAUAGUGUUCAUUCAUGGACUUUUUUCAUCCAUGAAGCCUAAGAAUCCCUUUUUCAACUUCAAGUUAUGGAUUUUCUUUAUGAUUUAAUGAUUGAAUUGCUCUUGUUCAUAUUGAUAAAUGAGAAAUUGAAUUUUACUCCAUGUUGGGUGAUAGUUUCUAUGUGGGUUUAAUUAUUAUAGGUAUAGAUUCAUGCAACCUUAUGACUAAACCCUUGAAUGAUGAAACUAGAAUUGAAUCAUAAUGUUUAAUUAUUAUACAAUGAUGUUUACCUGUACCAUGCCUACCAUAUGUUUGAUUAAAUGCUUAGAUGAAGGAAAAUUGCUUAACUAGCAUGAAAUCAUGAAAUCCCCAUGUAUGUACACGUUUAUGCCUAGCACAUGUUUGAUGAAAUGUUUCAAUAAAUGUAUUAUGGUGAUUAUUAUGUACUCAAGUAAUUCAUGUUUGUCAGUUUCCUUUCAUCGAGUCCUGGGGGUACUUGUACUCGAAAUAUUAGAUGUGUGCCUAGAGCCAUGUCAAGUUUUCACGAUACUCUCAGUCAAGCUAUGAAUCCUUAGACUUCAGACAGUCUUAUGACUCAGGAAAUCUCAAAGAUCUCAUGAACUCAGUCAACAAUCAGAUAUCAUUAGUGUUCCAUCAGUCAACGAAAUUCAUAACUUAAUCCAUGUUCUGUUCAGUUCAAUAAAUCAUGUUCAGUGUCUAUUCAGAUGGGAGUAGAAAUUAGCACCGAGCAAACCCAAGGAUGGGAACUCACCUGCUAGCUUAGGGUGUGAUUCUUAGAAGCAAUCCUUGUAUUCCAGAACUACGUAGCCAGUGUACGUUGAGAUAUCUAACCUGUUAGUUUAGGGUUGAUGAGGUGGCUUAACCUGUCAGUUUAGGGUUCCCACCGUUCUCAUUUUGAGUACCUGCCAGCAUAGGGUCCUCAUAGUUUGUCCUUACCAGCGCGGUAUUGACAUCCUUUCAAUUGGGGUUACAGAUUGGACCCUCAACGCUGCCAUAAUAGCGCAUUAGGAAUAUGUCGGUUAAAUAACUACUUCCCACAAUUUCAGUAUCAGUCUCAUUAAAAGAACUCAGAUAGUUCUUCAGUUUUUAGGAUUGUCAGAUACAAUCAACUUAGAUACAGUACGAAACUCAAAUAGUUCCAUCAGAUUCUGAACUAUCAGCUACAGUCACUCAUGUUAUCAGUUAUACCAGUUAUCAGUAUGUCAUAUUAUCAGUAUUCAGAUUCAGUAAUCAUGUAUUCAUGGUAUUAGUGUCAGUUAUUAUGUCUUAUGCAUGUAUUCUUAAACUCAUGAUAGUCAGUCAGUUAUUAUUAUUGUUUAUGCAUAUGAACCCUAUGCAUUUAGCCAACCUCACAUACAUACCAGUACAUUCAAUCGUGCUGACGCAUUCGCGCUAUGGUGUUUUCAUACUAUAAGGUCAGAGACACGAGCUCCAGAUCACAAGUAGAUUCCAACCUCAGCAGCCAGAGUUAGAAGUGAGUCCUCAUCCUUUUAGGACAUGAUAAUUUCUCUAUUAUCUCAUUAAUUAGUUUAUUAGUUGGAGUUAGUUAGGGACAUGUCCCAUCAACUCCUUACUCAUUCAGACAAUCAUGUUUAGAGGAUUUCCAGACUAUUACGUUUCAGACUUCAGUACUUUCAGUUUUGUUUUGGGUAUUCUAUUACCCCACCUGAUGUUAUAUUAUUCAGCUUAUGUUCAGUUUUGAACCUUAUGACCUUUCAGUACAUGUUUUCGUAUUAUUAUGUUAUAUUAUUCAGUAUACAGGUACAAAUAUCAGUCAUGGGUUUGCUUGUGGUCCUUCGGGGUCAUGAGCACCGUGUAACACUCCGAGUACCAAAUUCGGGGCAUUACAGUAGUACUUUUCAAAAAAUAUUUUUUCCUCUCACCAAUCAAACAACUAAAAAUAUUUUUUAGAGAAAUAAUUUCUAAUCACCAACCAAACACCAUAAAAUAUUUUUUAGAAAAUAUUUUUCAUCCACCUACCAAACAUGAAAAAAUAAGUAGAAAAUCAACUUAGAAAAAUAUUUUCCAUCAUACCAAACACACCCCUUAUGUGUCUCAUCAAAUGUAUACUGGAUUUCUAAGUUGACAACAGUCAUAUAAUUGGACUUUUCUAUUAUAAUAUUAAAUGCUCUUUAAAAUAUUCCGAACUAUAUAUCAUAGUUUUCUUAAACCGACCUUCUACAAAAUUGAUGAAUCAUCUAUAAAGUAGAUGUGACAUAUCAUUUGUUCCAUCACUUCAUUUAUUUCAGGAGGAGAUUUAAUCAUCUUUUUUCUCUUAUUUUGAUAGAUCGAAUAUAUUAUUUUAUAAUAAUUUUUUUAUUAAUAUUUAUUAUUUUUGAAUUUUUAUUAUAUUUAUUUUUAUCUUAAAUUGAAAUUCAUUGAGAAUAAUUUUCCUACCUCAGUUUUGAUGGAGAGGUAUGAAUAAGGUAUAUUCUAUUAUUUUCAAACCCUAAAACACAUCAUUAUUAUUGUCGUUUGAAUUUAUGAAAGAGUUAUAAAAAUGAAGUUAUUUCUCUCUCUUUUCGGCUGGAAAAUGGUUUUUUUGUUUUCUGUUUUUUCUUUUUGUUAAAAAACUGUUUUCAUCAAUCACAAAGUAGCUAGACUUAUUUCUUCUUCUUUAUAAAGAAAGGUAUUGUACUAAAAAAAACUUUUCUACAAACUUCAAUAUUUUCUAAAUUAAAUUAAAAUCAUAAAAUUUGCUAUUAAAUUAUUUUGAAACCUAAAGCAAAGGCCCAAAGACAUUACUAGUCUUCUCUUCCCCAAGUGAUGGUAAUUGAUUUGAUAUGUUGAUUAUACUCCGUUCGUUUCGGAAUAAGUGAAUUAUUGGGGUAUUAAUUGGUGUUUCAAAAUAAGUGAAUCAUUGAUUUUUUUUUCAAAUUUAUCCUUAUGAUUUGACAACCAAUUAACUUUUGAAAAGGUAUUACAAAGUCAACUUUUUCUUUUUUAGGGGGUAAAAAUGAAAAGUUGUGUUAAAUUUAUGUCUUUAAUGUUUUUCCUUAAUCUGUGUGCCAAAAUUCAACAAUUCAUUUAUUAUGAAAUGGAGGGAGUACCUUGCAAGUGUAGUUGAUAUGACGAUACCUAUGCCUAAGGGGUCGUUUGAUAGAGUGUAUAAGAAUAAUGCUAAAUAAGGUGUAUUAGUAAUACUUGUAUUAUUAGUGCAAGUAUUAGUAAUGUGGGUAUUAGUUACACAUAUACAUUAUUUUUUACACAUUAUUUGGUAAUGUGGGUAUUAAUUACACAUAUACAUUAUUUUUUACACAUUGUUUGAUUUGAUGUAUUAAAGAUAUUAUAUAUUUAUACAAUUUUUGUGAAAAAAUAUUUGUUUGUCAAAUUACCCUUUCUUAAACCCUUCCUUGUAUCAAGAGACUAUUAAGUUGGAAAAAAAGGAUUGAGAUCGCGUUGGGCUUCACAACUUCACCAAACCAGGCUACAUCCACAAGAAGAACGUCAACAGUAGAAACAUUCUCCUCGACAACAGCUUAUGAGCAAAGAUACAUCAGGCACGACUUGGGAACUUGUGGGAACAGCGGAAUACAUGGACACCUGAGUAUGUUGAGUCAGGGUCAGUGUCCUCCAAGAUGGACAUUUAUACCUUUGGAGUUGUAUUGUUGGAAUUAGUCACCGGAAAAUUCUGCUUUCUAUAGCAAUAGCUGAAAUAAUGGAAGGAGAAAAUGCAGAAACUGAACUGGAUGGAUUCAUCGGAGCACAUAUACAGUAGCAAACUUAAGCUUAAGAUGCUUGACUUUUGAGAACCAUCAAAUCGUCCAAGCAUUGAAGAGAUAGUAUCAUGUGUAUAAAGUUGUAUAAUAGUGUAUACAAUGUGUUUAUACACACAGUAUGGGUUACGUGGGGGUAAAUGUUUUUAAAAAUAAGACAGAGAGCAUACUGAUACAUUAUAUAUAACUACUGCAAAUUUUCUCCAUCUGAAUCUGCUCAUCGUCUGAGCAGCUUUGAGUCGCACGCCACAAUCUUAACACUGCUAACAGUCGUUACUCUUGAUCACAACAUCUUUCAAGAUAAAAGUUCAGACAUUAUCCAAAUAUCUGUAGGUGUGAAGAUGUCCCUGCAACGAUAGUAGGACAUUCAAAUCAGAGGCGGAUUUAGAACUUUGAGCGGAAAAUUUCCUAAGCAUAACAUUACUCAUCUCAACAAUGAGCCAAAGUGGCAAGCAGAAAGCUGGUAUAGCCAACAACUAUGUGGAUGAACUAAGACUUCAAUAUCUGGUUGAUUUGAGAUGUUUUAGCUUGCACUAAAAUCAGAGGCGGAUUUAAGAUUCAGAGUCUCCGGGUGUCAAGUAAACUCAUCGAUUAAAAACUAUACCAUUUAUAUACAAUUAAAAUAAUUUUUUAUAUAUAAUAAUCGAUAUUAAACCCUCUUCGACUAAUUCUUAUAUUUACUUCUUUUGAUUUUAAACCCUCUUAGACUUUGGUUACUUCAGCUUUUUACUUAUUCUAAAAGAGAAAACAAAAAAAUCUUUAAAAGUUAGAAAGGACCGUGGACAUUGAGAAAACUGCAAAGUGAUGAGGCUGAGCUAAUGACUAACAAAAAAAGUUUCAUAGAUCGGAGAACGAGAGAAUAAGCAAGAAGAUGAACAAAACUUAGGGUUCUUUUCAACUUUCUACUCUAACAUAUUUUUCCUUUUUUAAGGCUUCGUCCUUCUGAAAUUGCACAAGGUUAAAAGUUUGAGGCAUGUGUUUUACUGAUGUUUAUUCUAUUUUUUUAACAUUGCUCUUCCUCUUGUUUUUAAAACUUAACAGUUAAUCAUUGGGAAAUAUAAUUGAAGUUGACUGACUUGACUAGUGUAUAUAUUCUGAAUUUCUCAAAGAGAAAAAUUUAUAGUAAGUAUGAUUUUUUGAAACAUUGUCCCAUAAUGUAUUAGUUAUGAAAUCAACAUCGUCCUAUUAGUGGAUAAGAAUUCAUAUAUACUUCUGAUAGUAAAAAUUAAGAAGAGAAACUUGUUUAUUUUAUACUAAACAAAUACUAAUUAAAAAGAAAUAAAAGAAACGGAACAUAACUGAACUUAAAAACUUACGUUGCCAGCAGGUAUCAAAAUUGGGCACCUUGUGAAAACUAAGCGACCCUCUACCACUGGCACCACAGACAACUUAUGUUGCCUGGGUGACAAGUUUACUAUUUAUAUAUAUUAUGUAUAUAUACCCCUAUAUAUAGAGAGUUUCCGUCGAAGUUUGCGGGUGGCGUGACACCCUCACGGGCCUUAAUAGAUCCGCCCCUGACUGGUAUGGCAUAAUCACUUGUUCUUCUUAAUAAUUAUUCAAAGAAGAUAUUAUAUGAAGAACAAUAUCUUUCAAUUUUGAAGAACUGGUGUUGAGGAAGUAAAACACCAUUUGAUUGCAAGAGUAAAAAAUGUUGGUGCAAACAACCUAUCAAUAACAGUCACAAUUGACCACUGAUAGAAUAGCAAAGUUAAAAGAAAUGACGAAUGAAGGAAAAACGUUCAAGGUAAUAACAUAGUGAUCAUGAAACAAAUCAAUUAAUUUUUGAAACAAAUAAAUUAUGGAGUUACAAAGAACAUGAAUUUGAUAAAUUCAUUCUUCAAAUUCAUUCUUCUUUAAAUUAUACAUUUUAGGUUCUUGAAAGAAAGUUACUUUUUGUUUUAAAGUAUUCAUGAAUCUAUUUACUAUUAAUUAAUUAAUACUUUUUUCUUGCAUGAAAAUUUUACCCUAUAAAUAGUGUUUCUUUUGUUUGGAAAGACAAGCACUUCAAAAAAAAAAUUACUUUCCCCUUGAAAAACAUUUGAGAGACACUGAUCAAAAGGUGAAAUCACCAAUUCAAGAAUAGAAGAGUAACAUUCUUGAAUGCUACUUGUUUUGUGGCUUAGUUGAAUCUCGAAGAUAGAAUUGUUACUAAUUCUUUCGUUUGCUCGUGGGAGAGACUUCAACUAUCGUCAAGAAGCGUAUUAUCGUGCCUCUAAGCCAAGCAAGUUUAUUUUGAAUUUCUUGUACAAUUAUCAUUAUUGUUCUAACAAUUUGAAGAUAGUUGUCUCAAUGGCUUCUACAUCAAUAUCAAAUAGUAUUCCAUCUUUGCCUAAUCCUAAUUUUGAAAUAUUUGAUGGCAAAGAUUUUUCUAGAUAGUGUGGAAAGAUGAAAUUCCUUUUAAGAGGAUUAAAGUUGGCAUAGUUUCUUGAAGAACCUUGUCCCAAUGCUCAUAGUUUUGAGGUAGCAUCUGACGAGGCUACUUUGAUUAAAGAACAAAUUGCCAAGUGGUAAUUUAAUAAUUAUUUGUGCGAGAAUUAUAUUCUUGGAGGAGUGUCCAAUAAAUAUUAUGACUAAUAUUAUGUUAAAUAUAAAUAUGCUAAAGAGAUAUGGAACACUCUUCAAGCUAUUUAUUUAGCAGAAGAGGCGAGUUCUAAGAAAUUUCUCGUUUCAAAUUAUAUGGAGUUCAAAAGAGUUGUUGUCAAGUCAAUCACUAAACAAGUACAAGAAUUUCAACUUAUAGCUAAUAAAAUUGUUGUAUCUGGAAUUGCUCUUGAUGAAAACUUUCAUGUUGGUGCAAUUAUAUCAAAACUUCCUCCAUCUUGGAAAGAGUACCAAAGCAAACUCUUACACAAAAAGAAAGAUUUGACUUUUGAACAAUUAUUGCAACACUUGCAAAUUGAACAAGAGACACGAUAGCGCGAUAAUAAUAGUUUGAAGGAACCUGUCAUGAAAGCUCAUAUGGCUGAAGAAAAAUCAAACAAGAAGGAACUUGAAAAUAAGAAUUUUUCAAAGACAAAGAAGACUACAAAUUUCAAGCGUAAUGGUGCCAAUUUUAAAUCUGGUGAAUGCUUUCAUUGUCAUAAAGUUGGUCACUAUGCGCGUGAUUGCAGAAUUCUCAAAGCCGAAAAGAAAAAAAAAGCAAAUAAAAAUAAAAAAAGAUGAUCUUGUGGCAACGGUCACUGAAGCAUUUGUAGCAGAAGAUCAAGUGGACUGGUGGAUAGAUACCGGCGCAACUCAUCACAUAUCAGGUAACCGAAAUUCUUUCAAGACUUAUGAAUUAGUGGGGGACGGUAAAAUGUAUAUAUGGGAAACUCCUCCUCUACUAAAGUUGUGGUAAAAGGAAAUGUUGAACUGAAAUUUACUUCCGGAAAGAUAGUUAUAUUGAUGGACGAAUUGCAUGUUCCUGAUAUUCGAAAGAACUUGGUGUAAGGUACACUUCUUUCGAAGCAUGAUUUUAAAAUGGUUUUUGAGGCAGAUAAGUUUAUUUUAUCUAAAAAUGACAUGUUUGUUGGAAAAGGUUAUGUUGCAAAUGUAAUGUUUAAACUCAAUAUUGAAAAUGAAAAUAUUUCUGCUUAUCUUGUGGAGUCUCUGGACUUAAGGCAUGAACGUCUUGGACAUAUGAAUUUUAGAUCCAUUCAACUUGUGGUGAAUAAUGGAUUAAUUAAAGAUUGUGGAAAGAAUCAUACUACUAAGCGUCUUACUUGUAGUAAAUGCAAGAUUAUAAAGAAGCCCUUUAAGACAGUUGAAAGGACUUCCACACUUUUCCAAUUAAUCCACACUGGUAUUUAUGAGGUGAAUUGUUUGUCACGUCAUGAAAAAAGACAUUUUAUCACUUUUAUUGAUGACUACUCAAGAUAUACUUAUGUUUUUUCAUUGAAAACAAAAGAUGAAACAUUUGAGACUUUCAAAACAUAUAAAGCAGAAGUUGAAGAUAAAUUGAGUUUGAAAAUUAAAUCAAUUAGGUCUGAUAGAGGUGGAGAGUACUUAAAGUCAGAUUUUAUUGAUUUUAGUGAAAAAGAAUGCAUUGAAAAAUAAUUGACCAUGUCCUAUACACCACAACAAAGUGGUGUAGCAGAAAGAAAAAAAUAGGUCUUUCAUAGAAAUGGUUAAUUCUAUGCUUUAUAGAUCUGGUAUGUCUGAAAAUUUAUGGACUGAAGCCUUACUUUCAACAUGUCAUAUUUUGAAUAGAAUUACUUUCAGGAAUCAUCAUGCAUCUCCAUAUGAACUUUGGAAUAAUCAAAAACCAAAUAUAAAUUAUUUUAAAGUAUGGGGUUGCUUGGCUCAUGUUCGAUUACUGAAUCAACAUUUAACUAAGAUUGAAUAUAGAGGAGUAGAUUGUGUGUUUAUAUGUUAUUCACAAACCAGUAAGGCUUAUAGAUUUUUAAAUCUUGAGACCCCAAGUCCUCACACAAUUAUUGAAUCUUUACAUGCUAAAUUUUUUUAGCAUAUAUUUACCAAGAGAAAAGAUUCUUUUAAACAAGAUGCAAGUUCUUCUAUUUCUCCUCUUAAAAGGUAAAUAGUUGAGCCAUUGGAAGAAAGUCAACCAAGACGUAGUUCAAGAUCAGCCAAAUCAAAAAACUUGGACCUGAUUUUUAAGUUUAUUUGGUUGAAAAGGAUCCUAAAAGUUAUGCUGAAGUUGUGUCUUCACAUAAUGCUCCUUUUUGGCAUGAAGCCAUUGAUGAUAAAAUGAAUUCUAUACUGUCUAAUAAUAUAUGGAUAUUAUCAGAUCUUCCUCCUGGAUGUAAACCAAUUGGUUGCCGGUGAAUUUUUAGGAAGAAAAUGAAAUUCGAUGGUACUUUAGAUAAGUACAAAGCAUGCUUGGUAGCUAAAGGCUUUACUCAAUUGAAAGAUAUUGAUUAUUUUGAUACUUUUUCACCUGUUGUUCGGAUGACCUCUAUUCGUCUCUUGAUUGCUCUAGCAGCAAUUCAUGGUCUUGCGAUUCAUCAGAUGGAUGUAAAGACCGCAUUUCUGAAUAGAGAUCUAGACGAAGAAGUCUACAUGAAACGACCAAACAGAGUUGUCAAUCCUGGUCAAGAACAUAAAGUUUGUAAGCUUCUUAAAUCUCUUUAUGGAUUAAAACAAGCUCCAAAACAAUGGCACGAUAAAUUUAGAAAAGUUAUGAUUUCUAAUGGCUACUUAAUUAAUGAUGGAGAUAGCUGCAUAUUUAGUAAAUUUUAAGAAAAUUCUGGUGUUAUAAUAUGUCUUUAUGUAGAUGAUAUGUUGAUCUUUGGAACUGAUAUAAAAAAAGUUAAAGAAACAAAAUAUUUUCUUUCUUCUCAGUUUGAAAUGAAAGAUCUUGGGGAAACUGAUGUAAUUUUAGGCAUCAAAAUUGUAAGAUCAGCAAAUGGUUUGACUCUUACUCAAUCAAGUUAUAUUGAGAAGGUUCUAAAAAGGUUUGGUCAUUUUGAUGACAAGCCUACUUCUACACCAUUUGAUCCUAGCAUCAAACUAGUGCGAAGCUCUGAUGAUAUUCUUGAUCAAUUGACAUAUUCUCAAAUUAUUGGGAGUCUUAUGUAUGAAAUGCAUUGUACCAGGCCAGAUAUUGGUUAUGCAGUAGAAACUUUGAGGAAGUCUACUGGUAGCCCUGGUGUUGAGCAUUAAAAUGUCUUAAUUUGUGUUUUAAGGUAUCUGAAGGGUACAAUUAAUGUUGGCUUGCAUUAUUCUACCUUUUCAGCAGUUCUUGAAGGCUAUAAUGAUGCCACUUGGAAUUCUGAUCCGAAUAACUCUAAAUCUAUUACUGCUUGGAUUUUCACUUUAGCUGGAGCAGCAAUAUAUUGGAGAUCAAAGAAGUAAACAUGUAUUACUCACUCAACUAUGAAGUCAGAAUUUAUAGCUAUGUCUUCUGCGGGAGAAAAAGCUGACUGGGUGCGGAGUAUACUGAUAGAUAUUCCAUUAUGGAGUAAACCAAUACCACCUUUGACUAUCUAUUGUGAUAACAAAGCUGCUAUAUUUCGGGCUUGAAGUGAUUGUUACAAUGGCAAGUCAAGACAAGUUCGUCUCAAACACAAUCAUGUGAGAAGAUUAUUGGAGGAUGGCAUAAUAUCGCUUCAAUAUGUGAAGUCCAAACUCAAUUUAGCAGAUCCUUUGUCUAAAGGGUUAGGCAAAGAAUUGGUGAUACAAACUUAUAAUGGGAUUGGAAUAAAGUCUGUUGUAGAUUGAUUGUACUUUAUGGAAACUCUACCUAAUGAUGUAAUCUUGGGUUCAAAGGAAAAAAAAACAAGUAAAGUUACGAUUGUGAAGCACAUCUAUAAAAUUUUCUUUUUCCCUAGAGAGUGAGUAGAUGUGCAUAAGUUGAGAUUUUUUCUCUUGAUAAAUCUAUAAGACCGAUCUCGGUUGGAGUAAAUAAUAGAAACACUCUUGAUAGAUUUACUGAUACUUUGCUAUAAAGGAGGAUGAGAUUAAUUUCUCUUAAUGAAAUUCAUAGACUAUUUAGUCGGAGUAUGCAAAGUUACUCUUGAUGAAUUCACCGCACUAAGUGCGAAGUGGAGGCCGCUUCAAUAAGAUUUUAAUAGGGAAAUCUUAAAGCACUUAGCUAAAAGGAUUCGGGACACAUGGAACCACUUAGUUCAAGAUUUGUUCACUAAGUAGUCAAUGAUUUAGAAAGUCUUCACUAGCUAAUGGUUCAAGCCCAAAAGACACCAUUAUUGAUGCAUGUUGCUAGAUUGAUGUCUCAAAUGAAUUUUGUUUUUAAAGAUAAAAUUUCUUGAAACAAGUGGGGGAUUGUUAUUGUUAAAGGUUGUGUUUCAAUAAAUUUUGAAACAAAUACAUCGGUUAAAGAUUUUGAGUUAUGUUUCAAUUAAUUUUUGAAACAAAUGUAUUAGUUAAAAGUAUGGAGUUACAAAGAACAUGAAUUUGACAAAUUCGUUCUUCAAAUUCAUUCUUCUUUAAAUUAUACGUUUUAGGUUCUUGAAAGAAAGUUACUUUUUGUUUUAAAGUAUUCAUGAAUCUAUUUACUAUUAAUUAAUUAAUACUUUUCUCUUGCAUGAAAAUUUUACCCUAUAAAUAGUAUUUCUUUUGUUUGAAAAGACAAGCACUAAAAAAAAAAGUUACUUUUCCCUUAAAAAACAUUUGAGAGAUAUUGAUCAAAAGGUGAAAUCACCAAUUCAAAAAUAGAAGAGAAGCAUUCUUGAAUGCUAUUUGUUUUGUGGCUUAGUUGAAUCCCGAAGAUAGAGUUGUUACUAAUUCUUCCGUUUGUUCGUGGGAGAGACUUCAACUAUCUUCAAGAAACGUAUUAUCGUGUCUCUAAGCCAAGCAAGUUUAUUUUGAAUUUCUUGUACAAUUAUCAUUAUUGUUCUAACAAAGAUGUGAAUCGAAGGAUCUUUAGUCCAAGGUAUUGGCUUUUCAGCUGAAAGCACUCUUCUAGCUGUCCACCCUUAUAGGAAGCAAGACGUCAACCAAGUCUGGGAGAAAACACAGGCUGAUUGCUAGUCCUCGAGUUAGGGUGAGGUUUGUUAUCAAACUCUAGUCAUAUAGGAUAGCCCCCAUUGAAUUAGAAAGGUAUGCCAGGUCACAAGGAUGACAGGGCAGACAAGACAAAACAUUGGAAACCUACAAGAAUCAUGACCAAGAAUUUGGGCUUUGAGUUUUCAUAUUGACCACGAAUUGCAAGUUGUGCCGUUCCAUCUUUUGUUAUCAAGGAGACUACGCCUCUUGAAAACUUUAUUGCAUUUGAAGUAUUUUAACUAUUGGGUGACUUGUCUCAAUCAUGUUAGAUACACAACUUCUUCCUCCUCUAUAUCACUUCCAGUUACAGUUAGUGUUUCUUCUAAUUCUUAACAACUCAGUAGCAAGUAGUACUCACUAAGACUUGCUACUUUCAAAGUCACUAACGGAAACUUAUCUCCUCAAUCAGGGCACACACACCUGUCGAGGCCUCUUUGAGUGUGACUUCAUUAGCUAGAUGCACUCGGAUUCGGUUCCUAAUAAAAGAAAAAGAUCGUUGGCCUGACUAUUCCGAUUGAGAACACAGAAGAGGCUGUAAAAUAGUAAGAAGGCGAGUCCGAUCUCUAACUCAAGAGGGCUUCUCUUCCUCUCAUUGUCAGAAGUCAAAUGGUUAGUCUAGUUGGGGUAACUGGCCCAGACGACAUUGAUAAUGGAGUUUCCAUGAUAAGGUACGACGAGAUGCAGCCCUCUUGGAAUAAACAUGUUAAGAAGAACAUUGUCCUUACUGGCUACCACUGCUGCUCUAGAUAAUACAGCUAGCCCUUCUCCCUGAUGUUUAAGAUGGCAGUCAUAUCACAGGGGAUGCUUCUCUUUUCUAAUAAUACAGCAAGCAGAAGACCACAGGGUUUGCACAUAUGAGAUCCUUCGUCUAACAUUACUCCCUCCAUUCCAUCUUAUAUGACAUUUUCCCCAUUUUAAGACGUGCCAAAAUGUUUGACACCAUUCAAAUUAAUGAACUAUUUAACUUCUGAAAUUUGAUGUGUUGGUAAGUGCUUUCUUUAUCAAACUAACGUUUUAACUAUCUCUUUAAUAGUUUUCCCAUACUUGCAUCAGAUUAUCACUUUAAACUUGGUGACCUGUAAAAUAGCGUAUAUUAAAUAGGUGCAUGAUCAGUUAAUAUUCUAAAAUAGAGACAACAGAUGAUCUCACAGCAUUUGCACAUCCCAAAAUCAAAAUGCUACUCAAUAAGCAACAAACAAAUCCAGAAGGUUGAAAGACAAUAGCAAUUUCACCAAGAUAAGUUGGAUGAAACGGUGAAGAAUUCUUACUUGAGUACCUCAUGAUUUACAGGAUACUGCUAACUGAGUGAACAGAGUAUCUAAACCACUCAAUUCCCCAUUCAUCGUUGACAGAAGAACAUAUAAAAUAGAAGUUUCCACAUUGGACCAUAUGACACAUUCUAGCAGGACCAUGUGGAUUAUGGUACUUCCAAGAGUGAAAUACUCAUCGGAAUCACCUAGUAAAUCAUUCAUCCCUUCUUCACAAUUUGUUCUUCAACAUAAAGCCCAUAGACAAAGAGAUAUAGCCAUUAUAUCUAGUAAAUCAAAGCAUGUUAUUUGGCAGAUUAAAGAAUUAAAAGAUCAGCAAACUUAGUAUCUUUUCAAAAAACAAAUAAGAGCCCCAAAAGCAGGAAAAAUCAUCACAACAACAGCCAGUAAGCGCGAGUACUGAAACUGAUCACAUAAAAGUAUUACUUUUGUAAGGUCAAGCAAUCACAAAUAAGCUUGACACUUUACCGGUUUAGAUUAUGUAAACAAUCACCAUAAGCUCGACAAAUCUGCAGUUAUGGACAAUUCACAUUGCUAAUUGCUGUAUUUGGUUAAAAAAAUUCUAUUAGUAUAGAUGGUAAAUAUUUUCUUAAAAUAGCAUAGUUUGGUAAUUUCCCCUUGUAAUCCCAAUUCUGACAAUAAGGGUGUUUUGUGAUAUAAAAAUUAUAUGUGUGGCUCAAACCUAAAUGGAUCAUGAUUAGGUUAGAUUAUGCUGGUAGAAGACGAGCCCUCUUCAGCGUCUAAAUCUGCCUAUAAAAAAAUACGUAACGUCCACUUGUUCAACACUGCCUGAGUAUUGAAAAGCCCUAGCCCUAUGCUAGUGUUGCUCCGAUGACAUAGUAAUGGAGAUCUUAACAUAUCUCCUUGCUAAGUCCCUCAUGCGAUUCAAGUGUGUUUCUAAAGCUUGGAAUACUCAGAUAAAACACCCCACCUUUGCCCGGUCCCCACUAUGCUCGUUCUAAAGACCGCCCCUCAGCCACCCGAAUCUUGUUUCAACUACUCAAAACAAAUCCUAAUAUUGAUGAACCAUGCCGUGAUGCAGAAACACGUGAAUCGGUAGGAUUUUCGUUACAACUUGAUUAUUUUUGCGAUGCUCGGGAGAUGACUAUUUGCAGAAAUCAUUGCAAUGGCCUUGUUUUUGCUUGUAUAGCUAUAAAGACUGUCAACUUUAUUUAUACAAUGUCACCACAAGGGAGAUACAAGCAUUGCCACAGAGACUAUUAUCGUACAAAUUUGAGUACCCUGGGGUUUGAUCAAGUGACUCAAAACUACAAAUUGCUUUGCUUUUUCAGUCGUCCAGAAGAAGGAAAAGCAAAGAGGGCCAAACUUCUAACGCUAGGAGUAACCAACUCCUCCUGGAGAAAAGUCAGGAAUUGGUUAAAACCUGACCCGUGUGAUAUUUACAGGCUAAGGAAUGUGUUUUCCUCGAUGGGGUUGUUUAUUGGACCGGUUGUGUUAAGUGUAGCGCCUACUUCAACUUCAGCAAGGAGAAGUUUAGGUAUUGUUUACCGCCAUCUCAACAUCAUCCAAAUUGUAUAAUGAAUGCGUAUACCAUGGACACUGCAUUGUGUGGAGAAUUGUCUCUGUGUUAUACUUUUAUCAAUCACGACCCUCCAGUUCUCGUGCUAUACAAUCGUACGAUUAGAAUUACUGCUGAAAGGGUGAAGACUAUUGAGGUUGGGGCUGCGCUGUUUGGAGCAGAAACGAUUAAUGAGAAGACAAAGAAGUCACGUGUUUUAGCAACAGCAAGUGCGGUUUAGUGCCGCUGCUUCUCUGUCUUCCUCCUCAGGUCCUCGUUGCUUAAGAUUUGCUAGCAGUUUUGACGGCAACAACAACAACAACAACAUUGGUCCUCGUACCAAGCUAACAUUUGUUAGCAGUUUCGUUGAGAACAUUAUCCCGUUAACUUCUUUACUCGUUUGAAACUAGAAUUUUACAUCAGGAAGUUAGAACAAACACUGCUAACUAGCAGUUAUGUCUAGCUACCAGUUUAAUUUUUGAUAUUGUGCAUUCUUAUUCAAUUUCAGUUUUGAACCAGUUUAUUCAAUUUAAUUAUGUAAAUGAUUGAAGUAUGAAGCAUUGGGAAGCCUAGAGUACUGAUUUUCGAGCCAAAGAAGUUUUGAUGGUAUAUUCAGUUUCCGUAUCCAACUGAAAGUAGUGUGAGGAGUAUUAGCAUCUUGCGCGGCACUAGCUAGAGAGUUGUUGGUACCCGUGCUAGUGAACAUUGUUGCAAUGGCUGCUGAGGCCUUAGAGGUUUUUGAAAUUAAAUUCCACCACGUAAACAAAAUCAUAGUAAGUCUACUGCUACACACAGUUGUACACAUUACCUUGAAGAGGUAACAAAGGUUUUGGAUACGAAACUGAAGGAACUUUGGUCUAAAGAUAUUAGCUUUUCAGCCGAAAAAUCUCCUCUGGCGGACCAUAUUCUCCUUAUAGUAAGCAAGACAUAAGCCGAGUCUGAGAGAAAACCUAGACUAAUUGCUAGUCCUCGAGUUGGGAUGAGAUCUGUAAUCAAAAGUUGGCAUAUAGAAUAGUACCCAUGGAAUUAGAAAGGCACGCCCAGGGUCACAAGGAUGAUAGGAUAGACAAGACUACAAGAAUGGGUCAAGAGUACGUACCACUUGGACAUAGUCAUCAAGCUUUCAAUAAGUUACUUAGGAUGAAUCCACGUUCAUCAUAUAGAUGUGUGAAUAGCGCUCGAAUUAGCAUAUAAUGCAAUUAAUCCAUGCACAAUAGCAUGUGCUUCUUAGUUCUAUAUAUGAAUUGUUAUCUUUCAUAUAUUCCUGUAGACAUUAAGUCCUUUGCGAUUUUCUGAGUUCCUUCUUUCUUCUCCGGGUAGCAGAACGAGGGUUCAUAAUAUGAAAAAAAGUAAACAAACCAAAGGGAUUCUAUUUCAUAUACAACUUUUUUUUAAAAAAAUAAAUCAUAUAUAAAUUGUACUUCCAGUAGAGGUGCAACAUAAAAGAUUUCAAAAUACUUCUAUUAACUGACUCUUCUUAAAAUUAAUCUGUAUGCUACUUCAUAAAGCGUCGUUCAUGUUUGUUUUAAUUGUUAAACGUAAUAAUUUCAAUUUCGACAAUUAGAAAGUGUUGUGGAGAUGCUUAUAGCAAUAGGCUACAUUACAAAUUGUGUAAUAAACUCGAAAUGUCAACUGUAACCUCAAUACGAAAAACAAAAUGUGUGGUCGUUCAUAUGUUAAUCCUCUGCAUGUUGACAUAUUAAAUUAAUACUAGCUAUGUCGAGAAAUCUGAUUAUAACAAAGAGAAAUAUUCCAUAUUGUAGUGUCAAAAGUUUUUAUCUCCCUUGUGGCGAUAUUGUAUAAAUAAAUUUGACUAUCUUUAAAGUUAUACAAGUACACAAGGCCAUUGCAAUGAUUUGCGCAAAUAGUCAUCACCUGAGCUUCACCAAAAUAAUCAAGUUGUAAUGACAAUCCUUUCGAUUCACGUACUUUUGCAUCACGGUAUUAUUCAUCAAUAUUAGGAUUUGUCUUGAUGAGUUGAAACAAAAUUCGGGUGGAUGAGGGGCAGUCUUUACGAUGAGCACUGGAUCGGAUAAAGGUGGGGUGUUUUAUGAAAGUAUUUCAAGCUUCAAUUAGAAACACACUUAAAUCACACUAGCGACUUACUAGGGAGCUAUGUUAAGAUCUCCAUUACUAUAUCAUCAAGCAACAUUGAUGCGUCUUCAUAAGGUGAACAGGAGGAAAACGAAAUUAUCCUAAUUACUGUUAGGGCUAGAUGUUACAUAUUUUUAGGGGGAAAGGACAUGGGCUGGACAUUUUGAAAAGAAAUAGCUAGCCCUUUUAAAAGUUGGACAUGGAUAGUCAGUCGGCCCAUUUUAAUUCUCCUAAAUAGCCAUUGGCCCAAAACUGAUCCUCUUACACAUUAAACGGCCCAAAACUGAUCCUCUUACACAUUAAACGGCCCAAAACUGAUCCUCUUACACAUUAAAGAGUCUUUCAAUGGCUACUUACAGAACUUUCCCAAAUUUUCUCUCCUUCGUUCUAAUAUGCUUCAUAAAUCUGUGCUUUUUCAUCAAAAUUAGAAAUUGAGUUGGUGAUUCUUGCGUUGUCUUGACAUGAAACAAAAAAUGUGUAGUAAAGGCAAGCUAAAAUUAGCUGGCAAAGGGGUUAAUUUUGACCCCAAAUUUAUUGUUAAAGAUGACGACUUUACGGAAUCUUCAUAUAUGUUGUUGUAGAUGAAGGACUCUCCUAGUCCUUUAAACUUGAAGAAGCAGAAAAUUGAUAGAAUAGAGUCUCAACGUAAGAGAAAAUCUAUGUUGGAAAGUCCAUCUUCUUCUCAUAGGAUGACUCAGUCACAGAGUCAGAGGCUUUUAGGUGCAUGCAAAGAUGAAGAAAAAGAUCUUUCAAAAGGAAAGGACAAGGUCGGUGAAUGUAUAUUUGUUAGUGCGAAGAAGAAAAAAAGAAACGAAAUCGAAAAAAAUGGUAAAGAUACUGGUGCAUCGUCAAAGAAAAAACGUAAAGUUUCAGAUCAGCUUAGCAAACCAAAUUAUAGUUUAUCAGAUGUUGAGGUAUUCUAUAUUUUUUUACAACUAUAAUGUAUUUUUUUUGUGUAUGCGUGCAUUGUGAGACCUUACUUUGUAUGUUGUUGUUAUUGUAGUUAUUUUGUGCAAUGUAAUGCAUAGUGUUAAUGUAUUGAGAAAUAUAUAUUUUUUUCAGGUUUGGGAUUUUGUUGUUCGACCAAGUGAUUAUUACAUGACUCAUGUUAGUGUGCAUACAAAUUGCUCGAUUGUAAAUGAGAUGAAAGAUAAGUUGACCAAGGUGCAACUUGAUUUGUUCAGAAAACACCUAUUUUGGAUAUUUUUUAGAUUUGCCACCUGUUUUCAUUCAAAAUCAGUUGAUACAUGGCAUGUUGCUUAGAAAAGUUUUGUCUAGCCGAAAUGAUGAGAUAUGGAUUAAAGUGAAUAACACAAAGUUGCGAUUCGGUCUAUCAGAGUUUGCUGUUAUAAAUGGCUUAAAGUGUACAGGUGAUGUUACACUGCCAUGUAAUUUGAGCCAGUCUAGUCACCUUAUGGACUUGUAUUUUCCAAAUCAAUUCGAAGUUACAAAGCUUGAGCUGAAAAAAAAUUUCUUGAAAAAAAAAUGGCAAUCUGAUGGGGACGCGUUGCAUAUUGUCAUUCUUUACUUCAUUCAUAGUUUUCUGUUUUUAAUUACGUAUGGUGACUUCAUAAAUAAGGAUGUCUUUUUGUUGGUUGAGUUUGGUCAGUUUGAAACAUUUCCCUGGAGAAAGUUGUGUUUUCAUGAUAUGUUGGAUUCAAUAAAGUAUCAGAUUUAUAAGCGAAAGUCUAUGUAUCGGUGUGGUGGUUUUCUUUUGGCAUUCUAAUGUUGGUUUUAUGAAUGUUGUCCUUAUGCGGACAAUAAACUAACUGUUCGUGUAGGAGAUAGCUUGCCCUGGAUACUUAAUUGGUCGGUGACGAUCAGUCCAAACUACAAGAAGCUGAAGUUUGCUUUUAGUGAUAUAAAUCACGAGUAGGUACUUAUACUAUGUGUAUUUGUAUAUAUGGUCUUUUGCUUAUACUAUUAAUUUACUUUUUAAAACUUUUAAAUUUUUGUUUGUAUGUAUAGGCAGUGCUAACCAAUAUUGAAUCAACUUGUAUUGAGAAGGGCAUUCUUCAGUUGCCUGUUUUUGAGCCUGUACCUCAAAAGUAACAUGUUGCAUUCAAGAAAUCUGAUGGUUUGUCAGAUUUGAGCAAAGAAGAUAUGAGAGAAGACAGUCCUGUGAAUUCUCAAAAUGAGUUGAAACUUCUGCGAACUGAUUUGAAUUUGGUAUGUUUAAGUGUUUUAAAAGUUUAAUAUCACCUUUUUUGUAGUUGAGUAUUAUAAAAAAAUUGAUGUUUUUUUGUUUGCCAUUUUGAAAAUGUUCAACUAAAGGAUGAGGUUUUGUCGAUGAAACAGUUGAUGACAUCGUCAUUUGACCUAAUUUUUAAAGCACUACGUAUAAAUGAGGGUUCUAAGGUAUUUGGCUUGUUGUAUUAUUUUUGGUUUAUAAGACUUAUAUACAGUUUUAUACUAAUAUUUUUUGUUGAACUUUUUAAAAUAGUCUGCGGAGUAUCACAGUGGUCAUAAUGUGGAGUUUAAAAAUGAUGAUACACAUGUAGGGAAUUCCAUAAGGGUUAAUUUGUCUGACAAUGUGGGAAGGCAAACUGAUGGUACACCUAAGGCUGAUUACGUAAGUGAUAAUGUGGUUGAUGGUGUUAGACAAAAAAAUAUUGGUGUUGAAAAUUGUAUUGAUACAGAAGCUGAAAAUAAACUAAGUGCUAAUCUGGUUGAUGAUGUUGAAAAAGAAAAUAUUGAUGUAGGUGAUCACAUUGAUGUAGUAACUGAAAAUCACCUAAGUGAUAAUGUCAUUGAUAAUAUUGGAAAAGAAACUGUUGGUGUAGGUGAUCGUAUCGAUACAGAUGUAGCUGAUAGACCUAUUACAGGUGAUGAAUGGAGUGCAUUUCUAAAUUUUGAUGUUUUAAAAUUUACACCAAGUGGUAAUAAGAUUGGAGAGGAGGUUAAAAAUAGUUUUGAGGAUAGUUGGUCUGAUUUUCCUGAUUAUAAAGUAUCAAAUUUUACCCAACCAAUUUCUCAUGAGAAUGUACAGUAUAAGAAAGAUUUGGUUGAGAAUAGACAGUGAAAUCUCUAAGUAUACUCAACCUGAUAAAAUUGGUGAACAUUCUGUGAUUGAGAAAGUUGUUGGGAAGAUUGAUACAAUUUAGGUUGUACAAGUGUUGCAUUGGAGGCUCCAGAAGUUCUUGUUGAUGUUAGAAGCAUAAGAAAAAAUGUUGAUGAUACUUCUGUAGGUGAUAAAUCAAUUGUCAUCUUGGGUGACACACCGGUUGUCCUUCGUAGAAUAAGAAAACCAGCUGCAAUAUGUGAAUCACUAUACGUGUUCAAGUUUGAUUUUGGUUGUAGCAACGUUCAAGGUCAACCGACUAAGUGCAUAGAUAAAAGACAUUCAAGAAAACACAUAUUCAAUAUCAAAUAUCCAUUUACCAUAAGUAUUACAGAGCCAUUUCUUGAUAUGAAGUUGUUGUCUUCAUUCAACAAGUUUGUUGAUAAGUCAUUACGGUUUAAUUCAAAGUAAGUGUUUUCUUUCUAAAUUUUUGUAGUUUUUUCUUUCUAAAUUUUAGUAGCUUAAAUUUUUAUCAUUUUUGUGUCAUAACUAAUACGUUGUGUCAUGUUUUUGUUAAAGUCUUGUUUAUUUAGAAUCUGUUAAUAAUCUGACAAAUGCUUUUGACAUUGGUGUUGUCACGAUUAAAAUAAAAGAAUGGUUCUACACGCUUGGAUAUGCAGGAGUACAUUUAACUGAUUUAGUAAAUCUAUUAUCCAUCAUGGUUUGCUAGUAUAGCAGUGCUGAAAUAUUCUUUAUUCAUUCUGACAACGUAAUGUAGUUUACUAAAAUGAUCUUUUAUCUUUACUUUUCAACAUAUUGAUGUGCUUUUCUAUUACUUUCGGAAGAAAUCAAAGUACACUCUUUUAGAUGGUGGAAGUUCAUUCAAAACACCUGAUUGUUUGUUUAAUUGCUUGAUAUAAAGUUUGUACUCAAAGUUUUUGGGUAAAGAAAGAUGUUGCUGUUAUUAAGGAGGACAGUGAAAUUGUUGAGUAUAUCCUCGAAUAUGUUAUGAAGUGUAAUAUGUCGUGGUAUUCUGUUGAUAAUGUUUUGUUCCCGAUAAAUAUUUCUGAGAACUUUCACUGGAUUUUGGCUCGUUUGUCUUUUAAAGACCAAUGUAUUUAUGUUUAUGAUUCAAUGUGUGGUGCACGAUAUAGAUGUGUUGCUGAGAAAGUUGUUUCAGCAUAUUCAGAAUUGAUACCAUAAUUGAUACCAUACUUGCUUUCUUUUAUUGAUUUUUGGGACAAAAGAAGUGAUGAAAUUGCAGCUGCUGUCUCGUUUGACAUUCAGAUGGUUGACAGAUUGCCAACUCAAAAGAACACGUAAAUUAAUACUAAAAAACUAAUACCGUUGCUAGUCUUUCACUUUUUUUAUUAUUAUUAUACUCAUUUGAGAAUAUGUUGCAGGGAUUGUGGUGUUUUUGUAGCUGCUUUUACAGAGUAUAUGAUUGAAAGCGUUCAAAUUCCUGCAAGUUUAGAUCAUAUUGAUAGCAUACGGGCCGAUAUGAUGUAUUACUGUGGCAAUAUGGAAAGACAACUAUUAUAAAGUAAUAAUAUUUAAUUUAAAAAGGUAAAAUAAAUAUUUAUGACUGUUUCAGGUACUUCAACCGUAAUUAUACUGUAUCUGUAAAGCAAGCACGAGGUCGACAUGCCUGCUUCAACUGUUUCAAUUGUAAUUUUACUGUAUCACCCCUAAUUAAUUAGUAUAAGUUAUUUAUGUAUUAGAAAAUUAAUAAUGUUUAAUUAAAAAAAUUAAAAUAACCAUUUAUGACAUGUCUGCUUCAUUUGUUUCAAUCGUAAUUUUACUAUAUCAUCCCUAAUUAAUUAUUAUAUCUCUAAUUAAAUAUUAUAAGUUAUUUACAUAUUAAAAAAUUAAUAAUAUUUAUUUAAAAAUAAAAUAAAAUAUACAUUUAUGACUGUUUCACUCAUAAUUUUACAGUACCAUCGUUAAUUAUUUAUUAUAGAAGUAUUUUUUUUUAAUAAUUUUGCUAUGUCGUUUCUAAUUAGUUAUUACAAGUCAUUUAAGACAUGUGUGCUUCAUUGCUUUCAUCGUGAUUUUACUAUAUCACCCAUAAUUAAUUAUUAUGAUUGUCUAAGUAUUAAAAAAUUGAUAAUAUUUCAUAAAAAAAAGGUAAAAGAGACAUAAAAUGAUAUGUCAACAUAAAAAAUUUCAUUGACUAGCGAAAUUAUAUUAGUGCACAUAAAUUGAGAUGUGACAAAGCAAAACAUAAAAUAACAUAUAUUAUUUGAAAAUGAAAUAAAAAGUAUUAUAAAUUACAAUAAUUAAAAAUUUAAUAUAAUAAUAUAUAUGUAAAAUAAAAUUUGAUUGACUGUCGAAAUUUUAUUUGUGCCACAUAAAUUGAGACAGGGAGAAUACUCAUGUAUUAUUGAAAAAUAAUGUAAAAGACAUUGUAAAUCACAUAAUUAACAAUUUAAAAAAUUUUAAAAAUAUAAAAUAUUUGACUGACUCUCGAAAUUAUACCAACAUCAUUUAAAUUGAAAUGGAAGAAAAAAAUAUUACAAAUUAUAAUUAUUAAAAAUAUAAAUAAUUUUAAUAAUUUAAAUUGAGAUACAAAAAUAAUAUAUAUUGGGCCCGUGUCAGCCAUCGAUAUCUAGUAUUAAAAGAAGGUAGAUAAUAGGGGAUAAGGGUGGGAGGUAUUAUGCUUCGGCCGAACGAUUUUCUAAGGGCUAAACCUCGUGGAACACACUACUUUAAGUAUAUAAUUGACUUUGUAAUUAAUUUCUAUAUAUUUAAAAAAUGUUAGAUUUCUAAUGAUAAAUAUUAUCGGAGUUCUUUUUAUACUUAGCAUGUCCAUGAUUAUAUCGGAGUCAAAUAAUUAACAAAAAAUAGGAUCAACGAAUAAAUCAUAUAAUUAUUCUAGUUGGAUUGUAAAAGAUGCUACACUCUAAAAUUUACUAUGACUUAAUAUAAAUAGUAGGUUGGUUGCCAAAAAAAAAUUCAUAUAACUAACAUAUACAAAAAAAAUUUUACAUAACCUAUUAACCUAAACUAAAAAAUGAAAAAGUAAGUUGUUACAUAACAUAGAGUCCAACUGAUAAACCUAACUAAAAAAUCAAGUGUGUGUAAAAAUUUCAUGGGGUAUCCUAUUCAGUUGGCCCAUUUAAACAAUGCGCAUAUUAUGUUCUUUUUGAACAAAUACCCGAUAUUGUUAUAUUUACACAUUGAUGAUUGAAAUUUGUUAUUUAUCAUAUAUGAAAUUUGUGUUUCAUAUUUUUGACUUAUUUGGAGUAAACUAGAAUGUUUAAAUUUGAAAAAAUAUAUAUAUUUUUUUGACAAAACUUUAAGACUUACAUAUUUGAAAGUUCAACCUAUUUUUACAUAUAAUUCACUUACCAAGGCCAAACUUUCAAACGUUAUUGUCUGAAAUUAUCAAGCUUCAGACGCGUUGUCCAUGUGGGUAAACUUACAAAUUUUUUAUCAAGGGACUAUUAGUUAAAGGGCGGCAUCAAAAGCAAAUGUUCAUGCACUUCCCCUAGUGUUAGCAGUUUUUAUUUUCCUCACAUGCAUGAUGCACUAUAUUAGUGCACUAUAUAAGUCCAUUGGUCCUAGCGAUCGUUAAACUUGGCUCAUUAAUAAGUUUUACUCCCUUCAUUUAUUUUUACUUGUCACUUUUUGACAUGGUACAUUUAGUAAGAAAAUAAUUAUUGAUGAUAUAACUAUUGUUUCAUAUUAUCCCUAUUAAUUGAUGAUUAGAGUAAUAUGUUUUGAAAAUGGUUUGGACAAUAAGCAAUUAAUGCUACGGAUAAAAUAAGAAGUCUUCUUUUGUCUUUUAUUAAUAUGUCAAAAAAAUGAAAAUCUAAUUUAGAAAAAUAAUAACAGGUAAAAUGGAACAAAACGAGUAUAAUUUAGUGCACUAUACCUAAUUUUUGUCAACUCUAAUUUUACACUAUUUGAAUCAUUUUUUUCUUUUUUACUUCCUUAUUUAGGUUGGGGACUCUUCUAAUUGUAUGUCAACUUGCAUAUUGCGAAGAAUGGUUGCACACACAGACAACUUCUAAUCGACCUGUGAACUAUUAUUAGCUAAUCUAAAACUAAUCAGAAAAAGUAAACAGAAACCUAACUCCCUGUCCGUUAAUUUGGAAAAGUAUUGAAGCUAGUAUAACGAUAUAGAAGGAAAAAAAUAUACUAAUUACUGUCUUGAAUUUCUAAGGUAACACUUACUUAUUUUGGAAAUAAAAAGUUUUAUUAAGGUGUGACACUUAUUUUGGGAUGAAUUACGUAAGAUAAAACUGAAGGAAAAAUAUUUUUCGUUAUUGGAUGGAAAUGAAUUUUCUCUCUCUAUAUAUAUACUAGUCAAGUAUACGUGCUUUGCACGUGUAUAUGACAAUAAUAAUAAGUGUAUAUAUAUAAACGAAUAAAUUACUAUCAUUUAUAUCGAACAAUAUACUUGAUCUGCCUUCAAAGAUCCGGCUAUUAUGAAUCGGGUCCAUUUAUACAGUCACUUAAGACUAAUUUCUUGAUAGAGAAAAGUAACCCUUCAAAAGAUCUUAUAUUUCUAUCUUUCCACACCACCCACGUCAAGGCAAGUAAAAUCGCAUUCCAUGUCAUGAAUCUUCUCAUCUAAGACUAAUAAUUAUAAAUUAUGAAACAAAUAUGUGCACAAUAUUUUUUUUUUUUUUAAAAAACAUUGAAAUGCCAAUUAUUUAAUAUUAUACUUUGAAAGGAAAACUAUGUUUUAGAAUCUUGAUGACGACACUAAAACAUAAAUUGAGCAAUUCAAAUUAUUCGUACCGUCUAUCUCUAAGAACCUGAUAGAAGAAUGAAAUUGGAUAUAAAUUUAGUUUGCUAACUCAUGAAAUCUCUAUUUUUAUUUUCUAACCAACUACUGAUUUUGUUUGAUACUCCUUUCACACUAUAGUUUGUUUGUUAUUAACUUAUCAUGACAAAUCACAAUUUUCACUUUAUUUUUCUUUCAAUAGUUUUUUAUUUUAUGUAAGUAUGAUUUUGACAAAAGAGUAUUACCCUGAAUUACGCCUUAAUAAGAACAAUAUGAAUAAUAAAUAAAAUUUAGAACAGAAAAAACAUAUCUUAAAUUCACUCGUACUCGGUACGAAGUCUCAUUCGCAUGCUUCACAUAAAUCUAUCUUCAUCUACAUAAAUAUAUUAGAAAAUCAAUUAAUAAUAAUUUAUUUAUGGAGACAAAUACAAAUAUUUAAGAUUAUUAGAAAGAAAAACAUCUUAAAAAAUAAGGAAUCUUUAAUUUUACUAAACCAACAAUAAAAGAGUAGAAACUUAUUUUGAAGAUAUAUAUAUAUAUAUAUAUAUAUAUAUCACAUGCCGGGAUAGGGAAUAAAUCUUAACAUACACUUUAAAACUUUAGUCUGGCGUGGAAAAAGGUCAAAAAAAAAAAAAUUGAAUCCUAAAAUAUAUUUAAUUACAAUACAAUAUGAUUCUUUAAAUAUAUUUUUGGACUAUUAAAUUUUUUUCAUAUACUUUAGGACUCAAUAUAUUUUAGAAUUCAUAUAUUUUACAUAAUUUAGGAUUCUUAUUUCUUUCCAUAUAUUUAUUUAUUUUAUCAAGAUUCUUUCCAUAUACUUUUGGAGUAUCUCUUCAUUUAAUAAUAUAAUAAUUGAAGAAAAAUAAGUGAAAAAAUAAUCUUGUCUAUUGUAAAGUGUUUUAAUGAAGGACAAUUAUAGAUAUAAAUAUAUAUUAUAAUCAAUAGAUUAUAAAUAUAAAUAUAAAUAUAGAUUAUAGAUUAUAGAUUAAGACCCACUCGAAAGAAAAAGUAUAACUUUAUUCCUACUUUAGUAAUAAAUUUAAAUUCAGACCAAAGUUUUUUUUUCCCAAUAAAAACGUUAAAUUUUUGUUUUUUGAAAAAAAAAAACAAACACCAAUAACACACAGCCUCAUGUAAAGAGUUUGAAGAGCAAUUGGUGAGUAGCUCAUUUUUGACCCCAAAAAAAAACCGUGGAAAAAGGUAAAAAUGAAUUUGGAUCCUAAAAUAUAUUUAAUUAUAAUACAAUAUGAUUCUUUACGUAUAUUUUUGAAGUGUUAAAUUUUUUCCAUAUAUUUUAGGAUUCACAUAUAUUUUAGAAUUCAUAUAUUUUACAUAGUUUAGAAUUCUUAUUGCUUUCUAUAUAUUUAUUUUAUCGGGAUUCUUUCCAUAUACUUUAGAAGUACUUCUUAAUUUAAUAAUAUAAUAAUUGAAAAAAAAAAAAGCUGAAAAGAUAAUUUUAUCUAUUGUAGAGUGUUUUAAUAAAGGGUAAAAAGUUUAAAUUACUUUUUUUAAGAUCUUUAUACUUUUAAUAUAUUAUAAAUUAUAGAUAUAAAUAUAGAUAAUUGCUCCAUCACUUAUCUAAGAUUUGAGGAUUUGAAAGGUCCAUUUGACUUAUAUCACACGAGAACGGCUUAUUAAUGUUAUUGAGCACAUUUCUACAUAAUUAGUUAGUAAUUAUUAGAUUAGCCAGUACGCCUGACGUUCUAUUAGAUUAGCCAGUACCAAAUUGGGCUCGUGAAACACAUUAUUACUAUAUCAAAGAGGAGAUUUUAUCAAUUUAAGGAUGUGUUCGAAGGAAAAUAUUUUCGACAUUUUUUUUAAAUUUUAAAUCUUUUUAGGAAAAUAAAUGAUCUUUCAACUUAUUAAUACUAAAAAAAUAUAUAUUUCAAAAGCAUUAAUAUAUGGUCUAAACCGGGGAAAAGGGCUAAAUUUAUCUCUUCAUUUUGAAAAGUUGGCUAAUUAUACGGUUUUCUUAUAUUUUGAGGUCAAAUUUAUCCGUAAUCUUAUAUUUUGCGCUAAAUUUAUCCUUGCUAUUAAGAAACUUUUCAUAUGUACCCUUCAUUUAACAGAAAGUUCAAAUCGAUAUUAAAUGCCUCAUUUUUAAAAAUAAAAUACCCCCUAAUCUCCCCCAUCCCCUCACCCGACCCGACUUGACCCAUAAAAAUAUCCCUCUCCCAGUUCUGUUGGUCGAAUAUUCCCAAUGAAAUUAGGUCACUAGGUAUUUAUCAAUGCAUAACUCAUGAAAAAUGGAUCUGCAUUAGUGCAGACACAAACAAAUAUGCUCCUCCCUUAGUUCAUGGAUCUGCAUCAGUGCAGAGCUCAUGAAAAUGAUACUUAACAGUCAUAUGCAAUAGAUUAGGCUCACUAGAUAUUUCUCUGGACGAUUGAGUUAAGGGUCCUCCUUAUGUGUCAAUCAUGACAUCUCUUCAUUCUUAUGUCUUUAUAUACAAUUUGGAUCGACUAAAAUUUUUCAUCAUACCACUUUUUGUUCAUUUGUAACAAUACACUAGCGCUGCACGUUGAAACAGAAGUAUAUUUGCUCAUUAGAAAAAUUCGACCAACGGAAUUGAGAGAGAGGAAUGUUUGUUUGUGUAUCUUUUGUAGGUCGGGUGUGAUUGGGGACGUUAAAUUAGGGUGUAUUUUAUUUUUAAAUAAUGAAAUACUUAAUGUUCGAUUUGAGCUUUUUUGUUAAAGGGGGGAUAAAAAAAAAAAAAUUUUAACAAUGAGGGUAAUUUGACCCCAAAGUAUGACAUCAAAUAUAAAUUUGAUCUCAAAAUAUGAUAAGAAGAUAUAUUUAGCCAAUUUUUAAAAUAAAGAGGUAGAUUUUAUCUUUUUUCCUCUAAACAAAUACUAUGAGAUGUGAGGAUGGGAUAGGGGUGUAAGGCUGGUGGGGUUGGGUGAAAACAAGGUUUGUUAAGAGUAUAGAAAGGGCUCAAUCACUAUGGAGUGACAUGUGUUGAACUUGUUUUUCCUGAUUUCUUUAGAUAAUUCAUUUUCCUUGUUUAUUUUUUUAAAUACUUAGUAGGCGUUUGGUCAUAUUUCAUUAUAUAAAUUGGAAAAAGUUAGUUUUAAAGUGAAAAAUGAUAUUUGAAAAUUAGAGUUGUGUACGAUUAUGAAGUAAAUUAGAGUUAUUUUUUGCAUUUUUGUCGUAAUUUGAAUUAAAAAAGUUAAAAUAUUUUUUUUUGUUUCAGGAAUAUUUGAAAAUUCUUGAAAAAGGUAAAAAAAAAAAAAAGCAAAACAAAAUAAAUUUCAUAAUUUUAUAGCCAAACAUAGUUUUUGGAUGGGUGUUCUAUUCUGCAAAAAGUGAGAAAUUUUCUUGGCCAAACGAGUCCUUAUUUUUCUAAGAAAAAUAGUUUUCAAAAAUUAACCAAUCGAAUAUGAGAUAAUUGAAAAUAUUUUUAAAAAAUAUUUUUGUCAUACCGAUCGUACAAUCCGUGACGCCCCUAAAUAGAUAUAAAACUAUUUCUAGUGGCAUUUUUGAAAUGAAAAAUAAAACUUAAACAUAGUCUUUUGCUAGUUACAAACGAAUAAUUAGAACAUGUAUAUAGUUGGAUUACAAAAGCUUUCAAAAUUAUUUCGGUGUAGAAGAAAAAAUAUUAUAAAUCAUAAUAAUUAAAAACUUAAAUUAUUUUAAGAAUAUAAUUGACUAUCAAUGCCACAAAAAUUGGGACAAAAAGAGUAACAUAUAUUAUUUAAAAAUUAAAUAAAAAAUAUUAUAAAUUACAAUAGCUAAUAAUUUAAAAUAUCUAAAAACAUAUUAUGGGGAAAGGACAUGGGAUGACCAUUUUUAGAAAAAAAAAAAUGGCCCACAUUUGAAAAGGUGGAUAUGCUGUAGCCAGUCGACUAAAUUAAUUCUCCUUUUUAGCCAUUUGGCCCAAUUGGGCACUUGCAGACUCUAUAUUCAAUUGAUACACUUUUAUACUACAUUGAUACACUUUUAUAUUAUAUUGAUACACUUUUUAAAAAAGAGAAAGGAAAUUCUAUGCAAGUACGUGCAGUUCCUAUAACCAAUUGAUACUUUUUUAUACCAUAUUGAUACACUUUUAUACUACAUUGAUACACUUACAGUGUCCAUAUACUCAAUUGAUACUCUCUUAUACUAGGUUGAUACAUUUUUAGAAUGCAUGUAGAAACUAUAUAGAGUCGUAUAAAAUAUGUAUCUAAAUAAUAAUUGUAGUUAAAAAGUAUAUAUAAUGUGUAUAAAAAUGAUAUAAUUAUUAUAUAGAAUAUGUAUAUGUAUUUUAAUAAUGUUAUAUAACUUAAAAAAGAUUGUCAUGUAAAUGGUUUAGAAUAAAACUUAUAAAUCUACCUAAAAGUUCAGUUGAAUUGUCCAACGUCUACUUUGACUUUUGAAAGUGAAAUAAACUAAACUUUGCAUUAUUAAAAAAGAAAAGGAGCCAAAAAAACACAGGCCAUUAAAGAUGAAAAGUUGGCCAGUACACAAAACGGAAAGGGCCGAAUUGUGAUGCUUAAUGGCCUAAUUGUGAUGCUUAAUGACUAUUUUCUAGGUUUUUAAAUUUAGGUGUUAGUUUUGUGAAAUUAUUUUAAUUUUAGGUGCUAUUUUUGUCAAGGACAAAAAUAGCACCUAAAACUAAAAUAAUUCCACAAAACUAACACCUAAAUUUAAAAACCCAGUAAAUAGCCACCAUCAUAACCAUUUAUAUGAUAGUAGUGAAAUACACUUUACUGAAUUAGUAAUAUUGAAACUUGUUUGAAUCUUCAACCCAGAACAAAUCUCUCUUUAUUUUUUUUUAAGGCUAAACCCAAAAUCCUCUCUCUCUGUCACUUUCUCUCUCUCUUCUUCUUCUUUGUACAUUGCGCGAUCUCUGCAACUCUAAAGCUAUUUUCCUCUUCUAUACAUACAUUCACUUUUUACAAGUCAUCCUCUAUUUUCCUUCUUCGAAUUUUCUCUGUAAAAGGUGUAUUUAUGUGGUAUAUAUACUGUACCGACGUGGUAUAAAAAUGUAUCAAUCUAGUAUAAAAGUGUAUUAAUGCGGUAUCAAAGUGUAUCAAUGUAGCAUAAAGUGUAUCAAUAUAGUAUAAAGGGCAAAUCACAUAAAUAUACAAUUUAAGAGUAAAUAUUACAAAAUAUACCACUAGUUUCAUUUUUAUAAAAUAUACCACUAGAAAAUUUACAAAACUUAUCAAAUAAGAUAAAAAGAAGAAAAAAAAUAGUUAAAAGUAUCUUUCCUAUAAUUUCUCUUAAUAUAUUUUUCAAUUCCAUACCCACCUCAUAACAAAAUUAUUUUGGGGAAAAUUUCAAAAUUAUUGCUAUAAAAUUAAUUACACGAAAGAACAUUUACUUUUCAUUCAACAAUUUCUUCUUCCUAUUCUUUUCCUUCUAUUUUAUAUUGGAUUUUUUUUUCUCUUUUCUAUUUUUUCUUCUUCUUAUUAAUUAUGUACCUCGUUUUUCUUUUUUUAUUUUCUUCGUGUGUUCUUAAUUAUCACAAGAAGAAUAUAUAGUUACCCAUAUGUAAAGAUUGAAUUUUUAGGAUUUCUUUUGAAGAAAGAUCUGGGUAAAAAAUAUAUAGUUAUCCAUCUUUACAUCAAUUUCUAUAAAUUUCAGAUACCAUAAAAUUAUUAAUACACUUAUUUUUAUAUAUUUCACUAUGAAAUUAUUUUUAUUGAUAAACCUAUUUCUAAAGAGAUCAAACACUAUAAAAUUAUAGAUACACCAAUUUCUAAGACACUUUAAAUAAAAUUGAUGAUAUACCAAUCUCUAAAUAAUUCAGACACCAUAAAAUCGUUAAUAUAUCAAUUUCUAACUAUUUCAAAAAUCAUAAAAUUAUUAAUACUCAAUUUUUUAUACAAUUCAAACACCACAAAGCUGUCGAUACACCAAUUUCUAUACAAUUUAGACACCAAAAAGCUGGUAAUACACCAAUGUCUAUACAAUUCAUACACCAAUUUUUAUACAAUUCAUACACCAAUUUCUAUACAAUUUGUGCAUUAUGACACAUCAAUAUAUCUACAAUUCUUGCACCAUAAAAUCAUUGAUACACCAAUUUUUAUACAAUUCAAACACCAUAAAGCUGUUGAUACACCAAUUUCUAUACAAUUCAGACACCAUAAAGCUGGUGGUACACCAAUUUCUAUACAAUUCAUACAUCUAUUUCUAUACAAUUCAUACAUAAUGAUACACCAAUUUCUAUAUAAUUCAUGCACUAUACAAUUCAGACACCAUAAAGCUGGUGGAACACCAAUUUCUAUACAAUUCAUACAUCUAUUUCUAUACAAUUCAUACAUAAUGAUACACCAAUUUCUAUAUAAUUCAUGCACCAUAAAAUCAUUGAUAACCUUCACUUGCUGGUGUCAUAAAAAAAUUCUCGAAACUCCUCAAAAAUAUCGAAAGAUUCAACCUAGUUGACCUCUUCCUUUCCAACAACGUAGAAGUAGAAUAACAAAAGAACAAUCAGUAGUAACAUACAUUGAGAAAAAAACCAAAAACCUCCAUGAAAAAUCAUAUCCAUGGCCAUCGUCGCCACCAUAUCAGAUUCCUUCACCGUAUCCAAAAUAAAAAACACAAAAUAUACUGACCGAUGAACAAACAGAUUGUCACCACCAUCAUCAAGAGUGAUAACCCAAAAAUAUUUUGGUUAUUGAAUCACUUGACGGUUUCCUUAGCCCUUUGUACAAUUUCUUAAGCCAUUUUUUCUCACAAACAAAAUCCUUAAAAAUCCUCAAAUAUUUAUGCGGGAUAUUAGCAUACCAUACAGAAUUCCUACUUUCCAGCCACCACAACGGCAAUUUGUACCCAAACGACGCUGGAAUUCUGCACUUCAACAACUCGUUCUUCCACCAUGGAUUAUUUUACAAAUGGAUGACAAACUUAUAUGGAGAAAUUUCAUAAAUAUAAUGAGGGAAAAAAAUCAAAAAAUUUAAUGGAGUUUGGAUGAAACCAUCCAAAAUCAUCCGGCAAUUUGCUCGAUGUAAUCGGGCAGAUCGCUCAUCGGAGUUGCUGCAAGAAACAAUGCUUGCCUUGACUGUUGCACUUUCGUUUAGGGCUAUAAUAUUGUAUGAGGAAGGAAUCCUAUAUUAGUCUAAUCGUUUUCAUGAUAUCCCCGUUGAGAAAGGCAAACUUUCAUGAUUUCUAGGGUAUUAAAAACUAGGGAUUUAGAUAUGUGUUUUCUGGUUGGGCCUUGGGAAUUUGAGGAAGGAAAGAAUUUUGUUUUGAUUUUUUUUAAUUUUUGUAUGAGAAAGAAAAAUAAUGUGAGAAAAGGGUUAGAAUUUUUAAUACAAGAUGAUCUCUAAAUAGUUGAUAGAUUUUGUAAAUAAAAGUUAUAUUUUGUAAAUAAAAAAUAAUGCUAGUAUGUUUUGUAAUAUUUACUCUUAAGUUGUAUAUUUAUGUGAUUUUAAUUAGUAUAAAAGUGUAUCAACUGGGUAUAGAGUCUGCAUGCGACCGGCGGGCCAAAUGACUAAAAAUCAAAAUUAAAUUGGACCGACUGGCUCCAAUUGUCCAACUUUUAAAAUUGCUGGUCAUUUCUUUUCAAAAUGGUCAGCCCAUGUCCUUUUUCCUUAAAAAUAUGAUUGACUAUCUAAAUUAUAUUUGUGCCACAUAAAUUCAGAGGUAGUUUUGGUGUUUUAUAGUUUGUACGUUUUAAUAUUUUAAUUUAGUAGUUUGUUGAUCCAAAUGAUGUUUUCAUAUUUAACAUGUUUUGAAAAUUUAGUACUUUAUUUAUUUUAUUUUGGUAAAAUAUUAUAUAUUUAAAAAUUAUUCAAAAAAAAUAAUUAUUAGUCAUAACUAUUAACUUCUUAUAAUAUUUUAAAAACAUAUAGUAAAAAAUAUGAUUGACUUUUGAAAUUCUAAUAGUGUCACAUAAGUUGUGAUAAAGCAACAUAAAUUAUUUGGAAUUAUAUUAAAAGAUACUACAAAUCACAACAAUUACCAACUUAAAAUAUUUAAAAAAUAUAUUAGUAAAAAUUUUACUAUAUCUUUAAAUUCUAAAAUUUGGACAAAGCGAGUAACAUAACUUGUUUGAUAAUUACAUAAAAGGUCCUAUAAAUCACAAUUAUUAACAACUUAAAUUAUUUAAAAAUUUAUAUUAAUAAAAAUUUGAUUGACACUCUAAAUGUUAUUUGUGCUACAUAAAUUGAGAUAACGCAAAUAACAUAUGUUGGGCCCGUGUGUGGCUAAAUCAUCUAGUAUAAAUAUAAGAUCACUAAUUCAAUCUUGCACAUAAAAAAAGUCCCUCACAAAUAUAUAUAUAUAUAUAUUGCUGUUCUCAGAUUCAUAAAUUGCUCCAUCACUUAGCUAAGAUUUGAGGAUUUGAAAUGUCCACUUGACUUAUAUCACACAACAACGUCUUAUUAAUGUUAUUGAGCACAUUUCUACACUAUUAGUAUAGUUAUUAUUAGAUUAGCCAGUACCAAAUUGGGCUCGUGAAACACAAUAUUAUUAUAUCAAAGAGGAGAUUUUAUCUGUAAUAUCAAAGAGGAGAUUUUAUCAAUUUACAGAUGUGUUCAAAGGAAAAUAUUUUAGACAAUAUUUUUUGAUCUUUAAACUUAUUAGUAAAAAAAAAUAUAUUUCAAAAGCAUUAAUAUACGGUCUAAACCGGGGAAAAGAGCCAAAUUUACUCCCUCACUUUGAAAAGUUAGGCUAAAUAUACCCUUCCCUUAUAUUUUGAGGCCAAAUUUACCCAUAACCUUAUACUUUGAGGUUAAAUUUACCCUUACUAUUAAGAAGCUUUUUACAUGUACCCUUCAUUUAACAGAAAGUUCAAAUCAACAUUAAAUGCCUCAUUUUUAAAAAUAAAAUACCCCCUAAUCUCCCCCAUCCCCUCACCCGACCCGACUUGACCCAUAAAAAUAUCCCUCUCCCAGUUCUGUUGGUCGAAUAUUCCCAAUGAAAUUAGGUCACUAGGUAUUUAUCAAUGCAUAACUCAUGAAAAAUGGAUCUGCAUUAGUGCAGACACAAACAAAUAUGCUCCUCCCUUAGUUCAUGGAUCUGCAUCAGUGCAGAGCUCAUGAAAAUGAUACUUAACAGUCAUAUGCAAUAGAUUAGGCUCACUAGAUAUUUCUCUGGACGAUUGAGUUAAGGGUCCUCCUUAUGUGUCAAUCAUGACAUCUCUUCAUUCUUAUGUCUUUAUAUACAAUUUGGAUCGACUAAAAUUUUUCAUCAUACCACUUGCUCAAAAAACUUAUCCAUUGAUUAUAGAAUAUAGAUGCACAUAGAAUUGCAUACCAAAUUUUAAAAAUUGAGCAUAACUUAAAUAGGAGCAAAGUCUAUACUAGAUAUUUUUUCUAGUUCCAUGCUUCUGUGUUAUCUCAUUUCAUUUUGCUUUUUGUUCAUUUGUAACAAUAUACUAGCGUUGCACGUUGAAACAAAAGUAUAUUUGCUCAUUAGAAAAAUUCGACCAACGAAACUGAGGGAGGAGUAUGUUUGUUUGUGUAUCUUUUGUGGGUCGGGUCUAAUUGAGGAGGUUGAAUUAGAAUGUGUUUUAUUUUUAAAAAAUAAAAUAUUUAAGGAUAAACAACAUAAAUUCCAACACUUUGCUACCUAAUUACCCUCUCUCCAACUUUUAUAUUAAUUACUUAAUAUCCUGGAUAUGAUACAUAAAUUUGGUCCGGAUACAUAACCGAUAGAUACAUAACUACCAAAUUAAUUGACUAUAAAAAGGGAAAAUAACAGUAAAAGAGUAAAUAACGGAACAAUUAAUGCAAUUCUAAUUGAGAUAUCUCUCUUAAUCCCUAAAAAUUAGUAACAGAUUCAUAUUCAAAUUUGAAUCACCAAAAUAAUCUCCCUCAAUCAAAAUUCUCCCAGUUCUUUCUAUCUCUAUUAUUUUUUUGGUGGAUCUUCAUUGUCGCUGGCAUAUCCUUUUCUAGCCUUGACGAUGCCAUACUUCCAUAAGAAUAUUGCGUAUCUCUUUUGAUGAUAUUCUGCAUCAAAAUCAGAUGAAGGAAUCAAACCAUCAUUAAGAAACUCAGCAAAACCUAUUACAAGAUCUCCAGAGUGCCUAAAUAUGUCUGGUACUUACUAAUUUGAAUGGAUCAGAUGAAAAAACAAUACAAAUCAACUUCAACAUUGACUAUAUGUAUCAGAAGUAAUGAUAUAUUUCAUACUUAUAUAUCAUACUCAUAAUGUUUAAUGUAUCAGGUGUAAAACAAACUAAAACUCACAUACAAUUUUUAGAAUAUAUCAUAUAAAUCUAAAAUCUCGACAAAAUUAGAUUUUAGUAGAAAAUCUCGACAAAAUUAGAUUUUUAGUAUAUUACUUGUAUCAAGUAUAAAACUGAACCAUAAUCACAUAUAUGUUAUAUUAUGUAUCAUAAAGCAUGCAAGGACUCAUUAACAUUGACUAUAUGUAUCAGACACAAUUUAUUACAUGUGUCAUAUCUAUAAAGAAACAAAAUCACACGUAAAAUUUAUGAUGUAUCAGAACGUAUGCAUUGUCAUGAAAAUUGAUUUUUUGUAGCUUACUUCUUCCUCUUUAUAGAUGCAAUAAUCGAUAACUUCUUCAUCAUAGCCGGAUCAUUUUGAUAUUUCAAUCUAUUUUCACGAAAAUCAAUGUUGUUCAUAUCAUAAUGAAAUGGUGGAAAUUAAAAAAGAAAGUUAAUAGUGGAAAGAUGGAGUUGUUAGAUCUAAUUGAGUAGUAGAUGAGAACAUGAUGGAAAUUCAAAAGAAAGUUAAUGAAAGUUGUAACUUGAAUGUUGAAGUAGAAUAUGAAGAUGAGAACAUGGUGGAAAUUCAAAAUGGGUGAGCUGAGAAAAUCGUGGAAUAUAUUUCUUGAUUUUUGGGCUUGAUCUGUGGCACACACAAUUAGGGAUUGUGGGUGAAUUUUUUUAAAUGUAUCAGAAAAGAGACAACUAUUUUGAGUAUAAAGGGAUGUUUGUAAUUAGUUUAGUUGGAUGAGAUUUUAAGUAAUAAUAGAAAUUUAAGGUGUGGUUAUAAGUAAUUUAUCCAAUUUUAACAUUGAUUUGAGCUUCUCCAUUAAAAGAAGGAUUUCAGAAAAAAGUUUCUUAAUAAUGAGGAUAAUUUGGCCCCAAAGUAUGACAUCAAAAAUAAAUUUGACCCUAAAGUACGAUAAAAGAUAUAUUUAGUUAAUUUUUAAAGUAAAGGGAUAAAUUUAAUCUUUUUUUCCUCUAAACAAAUACUAUGAGAUAUGGGGGUGAGAUAGAGGUGUAGAGCUGGUGGGAUGAGACUAGUGGGGUUGGGUUAAAACAAGGUGUGUUAAGCGGAUAGGAAGGACUUAAUCAAUAUGGAGUGAUAUGUGUUGAACUUGUUUUUCCUGAUUUCAUUAGAAAAUUCAUUUUCUUUAUUUUUUAAAAAACUUAGUAGGCAUUUGGUCAUGUUUCAUUGUAUGAAUGGAAAAAAGUUAUUUUCAAAGUGAACAAAUGAUAUUUGAAAAUUAGAGUUGUGUUUGACCAUGAAUUAAAUUAGAAAUAGUUUUUGCAUUUUUGUUGUAAUUUGAAUAAAAAAAGUGAAAACAAGUUUUCGUUGUUUUAGAGAUAUUUGAUAAUUCUUGAAAAAAGUAGAAAAUGUAAAACCACAAAAUUUCAUAAUUUUGUAGCCAAACAUGGUUUCCAGAGUUCCAUUCUGCAAAAAAUAAAAUAAAAAAUUCUUGGCCAAACGGACCCUUAUUUUUCUAAGAAAAAUAAUUUUCAAGAAUUAACCAAUCGAACAUGAGAUAAUUGAAAAGUAUUUUGUAAAAGAUAUUUUUGUCAUACCGAUCACCCAAUCUGUGACACCCCUGAAUAGAUGUAAAACUAUUUCUUAUGGCAUUUUCGAAAUGAAAAAUAAAACUUAAACAUAGUCUUUUACUAUUUUUUUUUUUGUUUUUUUUGGUUUCCCAAGUAUCUCCACAACCGGCAGUCAUGAGACUAAUCCUCCAUUCCUACUGUCAGCUCACUAAAACGGUAGGGAACUGGUCAAAGAGUUUCUUCCAUUCACGAGAGGUGGAGAUCAAACCCCCAACCUCUUGCUUAAGGGGUGAGGUGCUGACCCACCACACCAACCCUUGUGGUUGUCUUUUACUAGUUACAAACAACUAAUUAGAACAUGUAUAUAGUUGGAUUACCAAAAGCUUUCUAGAAUUUGUUGCUAUAAAAAUAAAUUUAUCUCAUGUUCACAAAGGAAAAGGCUCUCCACGGCUCAAAGCGAAUAGGCUGGCAGUCUUGAAGCGAAGGAGAAUUCGCAUGAGCGUGUGUGUAUAUAUAUAUAUAUAUUAUUUAUAUUUAUAUAUAUAAUAAAGAAGUGCUUUUUAACAAUUUGAGGAUGUGUUCGGUUCAAACGAAAAUAUAUUCUUUUGUUAUGAAAAUAUUUUUUAAAAAAAUAAGUAGGUUUCUUAUGUAUUUAUAAUGAAAACAAUUAUUAUGAGGGAUGGAGACUAUCGGGUGAGGUGUAUUUGAGGAUGGACAAAACGCAUAGUUUAUUAGUAGGAACCUAUAUCAUAAUAGGUAGGAAAUUAUGACAAGAUUCAUUAUUUUUUCAAAUAUCAUUUAGCCAGUUUACUUUGUAUUUCUAAAUAUUUGAGCCAGUUUUAUUUUACAAAUAAAAUAACCUUGUCGUUAUCAACAAUUGUUUGUCUCCUGCUAUAUAAAGAGCACAUUCCUCAACUUAUGUUGGAAAAAGCACAAACAAGUGUAGUUCCAAUAUGGGAACACCAUCAAAGUUGGGGCAAUGUCCCCUUCUUGUUUAUGCUUUUGCAUUUUGCUUGAUAGCCACUGGCGUAGCGGCUGAUUAUGAGCCUCACAUUCAUGAUUCAUCAUCUUUGUCACACCGUUAUAAGUCCCGAAUGCCUCCGCCACCUUCUCCGCCACGUCCUUACUAUUAUAAAUCACCUCGAUAUCGAAUCCGUGUACCUUAUCCAUAUUACUACAAAUCUCCACGACAACCAAUCCGUUAUCCUUAUCCAUAUCAUUACAAAUCUCCGCCACCGCCUCCUCCAUCUCCUCGAAAACCUUAUCACCGUAAAUCACCACCACCACCACCACCAAUUCGUUCUCCUCGUCCAUAUUAUUACAAAUCUCCACCACCGCCUUCUCCAUCUCCUCGGACACCUUAUUACCGUAAAUCACCACCACCACCACCAAUUCGUUCUCCUCGUCCCUAUUAUUACAAAUCUCCACCACCACCUUCUCCAUCUCCUCGAACACCUUAUUACCGUAAAUCACCACCACCACCGCCACUAAUUCGUUCUCCUCAUCCAUAUUAUUAUAAAUCUCCACCACCGCCUUCUCCAUCUCCCCCGCCACCUUAUUUCCCUAAAUCACCACCACCACCAAUCCAUUCUCCUCAUCCAUAUAAGUCUCCACCACCACCUUCUCCAUCUCCACCUCCACCUUAUUACACUACAUCACCACCACUACCAAUCAUUUCUCCUCCACCGCCAUAUUAUCACAAAUCUCCACCACCGCCUUCUCCAUCUGCACCGCCUCCAUCUCCAUCUUCAUUGCCGUCACCUUCGAUUACACCUAUCGCUGAACCAUUUCCAUCUCCGAUGGUGCCACCACCAUUGACUACACCUAUUUCUGAACCAUCUCCAUCUCCAUCUCCAUCUCCAUCUCCAUCUCCAUCUCCAUCUCCAUCUCCAUCCCUGCUAGCACCGUCGAUUACACCUAUCGCUGAACCAUUCCCAUCUCCAUUUCCGCUAGCACCAUCGACAACCCCUAUUGUUGAACCCUUUCCAUCUCCAUUGCCGCCAAUUGCUGAACCAUUUCCGUCACUAUCGCCUUCACCAUCACCAAUUACACCUAUCGCUGAACCAUUCCCAUCUCCAUUUUCUCUAGCACCAUCGACAACCCCUAUUGUUGAACCCUUUCCAUCUCCAUUGCCACCAAUUGCUGAACCAUUUCCAUCACUAUCGCCUCUACCAUCACCAAUUACACCUAUCGCUGAACCAUUCCCAUCUCCAUUUCCGCUAGCACCAUCGACAACCCCUAUUGUUGAACCCUUUCCAUCUCCAUUGCCACCAAUUGCUGGACCAUUUCCAUCGCUAUCGCCUCCACAAUCACCAAUUACACCUACCACUCAACCAUUUCCAUCUUUAUCUCCUCCUUCACCAUUAAUUGCACCUACUGAUGAACCAUUUCCAUCUCCAUUGCCGCCUGCAUCUCCUCCUUUGUCUCUACCUAUUUCUCCAUCUCCACCACCUCCAAUAAAGACCCCCCUUCCUCCAUUGGUGUCUCCACCUCCACCAUGCUACACUAAAUAUCCUCCCCCACCAUCUUUGUUCCAUCUUCCACUACCACUUCCCUUUAAUCGACCUCCACUUCCACCAUCUAAUUGUAUGCCUCCCCCACCAUCUCCACUAUGUAAUAAUAAAUCUCCACCCCCACCAUCUUUUUUCCAUAUUUCUCUACCUUUUCCCUUUAGUCGACCUCCACCUCCAUCAUCGAAUUGUAUCUCUCCUCCACCACCAUAUCCAUUAAAGUCUCCACCUCCACCUCCACCUCCACCACCUCCUUCUCCAUCUCCCCCACCUCUAAUAAAGCCUCCGCCUCCUCCUUCAAAGUCUCCACCUCCACCACCACCUUCUCCAUCUCCCCCACCUCCAAUAAAGCCUCCGCCUCCUCCUUCAAAGUUUCCAUCUCCCCCACCUCCAAUAAAGCCUCCGCCUCCUCCUUCAAAGUUUCCAUCUCCCCCACCUCCAAUAAAACAUCCGCCUCCUCCAUCAAAGUCUUCACCUCCACCACCUUCUUCAUCUCUUCCACCUCUAAUAAAGUCUCCGCCCCCACCAUCAAUAUCUCCACCUCGACCACCUUCGGUAAAUUCCCCACCUCCCCCAUCAAAGUCUCCACCUCCACCUCUCGUAAAGUCCCCGCCUCCACCAAAGUCUUUACCUCUUUCACCACAGCCACCUUCUCCAUCUCCCCCACCUCCGAUAAAGCUUCUGCCUCCCCCACCCCCACCUUUAGUAAAGUCUCCACCUCCUCCACCUUCGAUAAAGUCUCCACCUCCUCCAUUUUCAAUAGUUCUUCCACCAUUGCCACGAAUACCUCUUCCACGCCUACCCCCAUUGCUACAAAUACCUCUUCCACGCCCACGUAUGCCUUUUCAUCAAGCACCCUAGAGCCACAACUCGCCUCCACUACUAUUGAAAUUUCAUGGUUAUCAAUAUACAUCCUCCUCCUCCGUCACAUAAAAAAAAGUUUA